rnacentral:lncRNA from 1 species
GUGCUCUUCCCUACUUCUUUAAUAUAUGCCAUUAAUGAAAACUAUCAUAAAAAAGCCUAAGUACGACCUAAAAACGCAGUUCAUCAAAUCCAUAAAUGUUAUUGGGGUAUUAGUCAACCCAAAAGAUGUCACCAGAAACUUGUAAUUACUAUAAUGGGUCUUAUAGGUUGUCUUAGGUAUGCCCUAUAACUCCCCAAAGAUACCCCCUGGAUGUCAUAGGGUACUUAAGACUAUGAAUAGCCCCAAGCUAACCUAUGAUAUCUACUCAGAACUGAAAUCUCAUAAAUGUAAACUUAAAACAUGAGCAAAAACUUAAAAAACAUAUAACUGAGUUCAAAUAUAUGAAUAAUCUCAAACAAAACUCUGUAACUCAAUAACUUUCAAAUUUAUGAAAAACUAAAAGAAAUAUAUAGUCUGACUAGCUUGACAAACCUUUAAUUAGAACUGAAGAGCCACUAGGACAAACUUAAGAUGAACCAAAAUAAAAACCGAAUAACUAAAAUAACUGCAAUAAAUAUCUUGAACCAUCAUAAACUUGGCCCUCAAACUAUGAGGAUUCACCAACUAUCUAAAUGUAGGAAGUGGUACCUGCGGUUAAUCGUGUUGUUGGGACGAACACCAGAACCUACAUUAUGAAACAAUGUAGCCACACAGACAUAUAUGUGGUCAGUACGUCUAGAAUGUAUUAAGUUGUAACACCCCGAAUCUUAUUCCCAGAGCGCUACACGGUGCUCAUGACCCCGAAGGACCACAAGCUAACCCAUGACUGAUAUCUGUACCUGAACACUGCAUAAUAUAUGGUAUAAAUGCAAAAAUAAAGGCUAAAAGGCCAUAAGGUUCAAAACUGAUAAAACAUAACAUCUAAAAGUAUGGUAUAUUAAUACCAAAACAAACUGAAACAAAACUGUCUAAACAUACUGUAGUCUGAAAAACCUCUAAAAUUGAAUUGUCUGAAUAAGGAGUUGAUGGGAAAUAUCCCCAACUAACUCCAACUACUGAAAUACACUAAGUAAUAAAGAAAUAAAGUAAUGACCAUGUCCUCAAAGAAUGAGGACUCACUGCUAACUCUGACUGCUAAAACUGGAAUGCUACUGAUGCUCUGGAGCUCGUGCUUCUAGACCUAUAGUAUAGAAUAAAAUACCAUAGCAUAAAUGCGUCAGUAUAAUUGAAUGUAAUGGUAUGCAUGUGAGGUAGGCGGAAUGAAAAGGGUUCAAAUGCAUGAACAAUGCAAACUGACUGUAUAGCAUGAACAUGAGAAUACAUGCAUGAAUAAGUAACUGUAACUAAACUCGUGAUGGUACCGACUACUGAGUCUGAUUACUGAUAACAUGAGUUACUGAUAAUUGAUAUAACUAAUACUGAGCAACUGUCUUUGACAGUUUAGGUUCUGAUGGAACUAGCUGAGUUUUGUACUGUGCUGAGUUGAUCGUAUCUUACAGUCCUAAAAUUUAAAGAACUAUCUACGUUCUUUUACUAAGACUGAGACUGUGGGAAAUAGUCAUCUAACCGAUAUGCCCCAAAUAAUGCAUUAUAUCUGAGUUUGGGUCUAAUCUGUAACCCCAAUUAGAAGGGUGUCAAUACCGCACCACUGGUAAAGACAAGUUGUGGGUGACCCUCAUCUGGCAGUGUCCCCAAAAAAGAAUGGUGGGACCCUCAUCUGACAGUGCUUAUCUACCUCAUUAACCCUCAUCUGUCAGUGUUGAUGUCUCAACCUAUUUUGGCUACAUAUUUAUGGAAUGUAAGGAUUGCUUUUAAGGAUCACACCCUCAACUUUCAGUGUGUGUCCUUAUCCUUAGGUUCACUCGGUGCUAAAUCCUACUCCCAUUUGAAUAGACACUAAACAUGAUUAACUGAACUUAACUGGAUUGAGUUCAUUCAGUUCCGUUGACUGAUAGAAUACAACUGAGAUUAUUAAAUUUCUGAGCUUUCUAAGAUUACUGGGAUUACUGAGUUUACUUAGUUUUCCUGAGUCACGUAACUGAUUGAAUUCUACUAAUCAUGGCUUGACUGAGGAUAUCAUGAAAACAUAACACUAGCUCUAGGCACAUAGCUAAAUUAUCGGGCACAAGUACCCCUAUGACUCUAUAGGAGAAAACUGAUAAGGCAUGAUAUUCUUGAAUACAUUAUCAACAUCAACAAUUCAUAAUACAAUAAGUUGGGGAUUUUAUGAAGUACAUGGUUAUCAUAAUCUUGUACAUGGUAGGAAUGCAUAUACUCAAUGUCAUAAUUUCAUACUCCAACAUCAUGAGCAUUCCAAUAAACAACUACAUUGCACAUCAAUAGCAUGAGAGUCAUUUGAAUAUAAGGAUAAAACAUGCACUUAUCAUAUGGAUCACAAUUGAGCUAUAAUACACAAUUUCUAUCCUCUUAGGCAUUUUAUCAAACACCUUACAUGCACAACUUAGGGCAUAAGUGUAAUCAUCAAAUUACAAAUCAUAAACAACUCAAUUCAUGGAUUUCAACUUGCAUGCUAACGUAAUUUCAUGAAAAACGCAUAAAGAUUCCAACUUGGGAAUCAUACCACAACAACCACAUGAACAUAAUCAACCCAUAGCAUGAAUAUCAUAAUCCAUAGUUUAAAACUUGAUUCUUGGGCUUCAUGGACAAAAGGAAUCUAUGAAUGAACAGUAUGCAUACCUUAGUUCUUGAUUUUGCAAAGAUUUACGAUGGAAUGUUCUUGAAUUUGAAUCCCCAAUUGAGAACCCUAACUUGUUCUUGAUUGAAUUUUGAGAGAAGUGACUAUAUUUUGGUUGAAUUGGGGAUAAAUCCCGUGUUAUAGGCUUAUAUAGGGGUGGGAAAUACCCAUUCUGCCUUUAAAAUAACUCAAAAAUGGGGUGUUUAUGUCAUUUGGGCCAUAAGAUAUGCGUCGCACAACUUAUUGCGUAAGCUAGGUUGUGCGUCGCACAACUUAUAGCUUAAAUUAGGUUGAGCGCCGCACAACUUAUGGCUUAAGUUACGUUGUGCAUCACACAACUUAUGGCUUAAGUUACGUUGUGCAUCACACAAAUUAUGGCAUAAUUUAGGUUGUGCGUCGCACAAAUUAUGGCAUAACCAUUCCAGUAGCCUUAGGAGAUUUGUUAGGCGACGCAUUCUACUUUGCAAAGCCAUAACUUCUUGCUCGGGUGUCAGAUUUUGGUAAAAUUAGUAUCAUUGGAAAGCUGAUUCGAUCCUCUAUAAGUUUUUGGGUCUAAAUAUGGCAAAAUACCACAUAUACAUAAAUUUAUGCUCAUUCAAAGAUGACUCUUGCAAAAUCAAAUACUAAAACUUGAUGGAUUCAAAAGUUCUUAGCUUGCCUUACUCUAAGUGACUCUUAUGAACACGCUUAACACAUCAUAAGCUCUCUUCUCAAUAGUAUACUCAUUGUAAGUCAUGUUCUCAAAUAUGAAUCACAAGAUAGGAGGUUUCAUACGUAGGAACAAUGGUUCAUUUUCUAGCUUAGAAAUAUAUGAGGUAUUACAUAAGUUUGUGGGGGUGAGUGUAAUAAGUAAAACUAAAGCUGAGCAUAAUUUCAAAUCAUGAAUGCUAAGUGUAAAAAGACUCACCUUGAUCAUAAGUAAGACUGAAAGCUGAAAUCUCUUAAAGAAUGACUCAUAAAACAAUAUCUAAACGGCAACUAAGAGUCAUUAUACUUCAUUUCUGAAAUACUCUUUUCUUUGGGAGAUUCUCAUAACUGACAUAAAUCAUACGAGCAACACGGAGUCAGAUAACUUAAGCCCUCAUCAAAAGAUUAUGAUAAUCUCAAACUUGCAAUAGCCUAAUAUACCUUAACAGGGUAUAAAGUCUAACUAUGGUACAAUAACAACAAUAGACCCAUUAUAUUCCCACCAAGUGGGGUUUUGAGAUGGUAAGUGUAUGCGGUUGUAAUACCCCAUACUUUUCCUAGCUUGAAAAACUUCUCAAGAAUGUUAGAAGCUUUCUUUGAAAGAUAAAUCCACUUUUUUACACGUGGUAUUUUUAAGAUUUUGACUUUUUAUCAUGUGGGGAAUCGAAUAAGCUUUCCAUCGAUACCAAAUUAACCAAAAUCCAAUAGCCGGGUAAAGAGUUAGAGCCUUUUUAGUAAGACAGUGUAUCACCUGAGCCUUCAGCGCAUCGCAGAGAUAGCUCAAAUGAAAAUUGUCAAUUUCCAGUAUUGCUCCGCGAUAGUGGCGCAUCACGCAAAACUUCCAGUUCAUAGACAAGGUGGCAACUCAAUAGCUCUGCAUCGUACCACCGUGCAAUUUCCCAUUUGUACUUUCCAGUGACUUGGUGUGAUAGUGGCGUGUCGCGCCAAGGAUGAAAAUCAGGAAAUUUUCUCAAAAAUUAAAGACGCAUCCAAGGGUUAAAAGGGUCAAUUUUCUACCCCUAUUUAAACCCAAUAACAUGUGAUUUAUCCAUUCUUCACCCAAAAUAUACUAGUUUCUCUCAAGUUUCUUUCAAGAACAAGUUAGGGUUUCUAUGGAGGGUUCAAAUUCAAGAAGGUUUCACCGUCAGUCUUCACGUAAUCACAAACUAAGGUAUGCAUAGUGUUCAUUCAUGGACUCCUUUCAUCCAUGAAGCUCGAGAAUCUCUUUUCUAAGUCUAAGUUUAUGGAUUUCUUUAUGAAUUUCAUGUUGGUUUAGUUUUUUUUAUGUUGAGAAUGAUCAAUUGAAUUCAAAUCCAUGUUGGGUGAUCAAUUUUAUAUGGAAUUGAUUUGUAUAGAUGUAUAUUCAUGUGAACCUAUAAAUAAACCCUAGGAUGAUGAAAUUAAAGAUGAAUCGUGAUGAUUAAUUGUUGUAUAAUGUUGUCUACAUUUGCGAUGCCUACCAUCUGUAUGAUUAAAUGCCUAGAUGAAGGAAUAAUGCCCAACUAGUAUGAUAUCAUGAAAUCCCCAUAUAUGUACAAGCUUAUGCAAAUCACAUGUUUGAUGAAGUUCUUUAAUAUAUGAAUUAUGAAUUGUGUUGUUGGUCAUGUGUUCAAGUAAGCCAUGCUAUGUCAGUUUCUUCUCAUCGAGUCUUGGGGGUACUUGUACCUGAACAUUUAGUUGUGCGCCUAGAGCCAUGUCAUGUUUUCAUGAUCUUCUCAGACAAGCUAAGAUCCAUAGAACUCAGUCAAUCAUGUGACUAAAGAAAUCUCAAAAAUCUCAGUAAUUUCAGUAGCUCAGUAAUCUUAGUAAUUUCAGUAUUCUCAGUCAGUCCUCAGAACUCAGUACAUUUUGUCAGUCAAUGAAACUCAGUAAAUUCAAUUUAGCUCUACUAGACAAUACCACUAGUAUCAGUUCAGUUCAGUUAAUCAGCUCAGUUUAGUUAAUUAGUUCAGUGUCUUUCAGAUGGGAGUACAAUUCAGCACCGAGCGAGCCUAGGGAUGGGGACUCACCCUCUAGAUAGGACUGGAAACCUAGAAGCAAUCCCUAAGUUCUAGAACUACUUAGCUUGUGUAGGUACGAGAUGUCAACUGUUAGAUAGGACUGACAUACUCAAGGAUCACCCGUUAGCGCAUUUAAAUAUAUAGGACUGAUCCCAGGGGUCACCUGCUAUAUUAGGACUGACUCCACAGCAGUUGUCUUCACCAGUGGCAUCAUACUGACACCUUUCCAGCUGGGGUUACAGGUUAGACCCCAGUUAGCUUAGUAUGGGGCAUGUCGGUUAGAUGAAUACAUCCCACAGUUUUAGUUACAGAAUCAGGACUGUCACACACAGUCAAUUUAGCUCAGUAGUAGAGAUUUAGGAAUGUCAGAUACAGUCAAUCCUUAUCAUUAUAAAUAGACCCCAGGGUUACCUACCAGACAGGACUGAUCUCAAUUAUGGUCAAUCAAUACCCGUAUUAUCAGAUGUAGAGAUCACCCAAUAGAUGGGACUAAUCUCAGAUACAGUACAGAAAUCAGCUAGUUCUAUCAAAUUCAAGACUGUCAGAUACAGACACUCAUGUUAUCAAUUAUAUCAGUUAUCAGAACUGAUAUUAUUAGCAUUCAGCUUUAGAACUGUCAGAUACAGUCAACCAAACCAGUUUUUUUUAAUCAGAACUGUCAGAAAUAGUUAUUCACGUAUCAGUAAUAUAGUAUCAGUCUCUUAGAUAUCAGCAACCUGUUAUUAGUAAACUCAGUAUUUAGAACUUAGCAUUUAGUCCUAUCACGAUGUCAGUUACAGUUACGUAUGCAUGCAUAUAUUCUCACGUUCAUGUUAGUCAGUCAGUUAGUAUUGUUCAUGCGUAUGAACCUAUUGCAUUCAACCUACCUCACUUGCAUACCAGUAUAUUUAAAGUACUGAUGCAUUUGCGCUAUGGUGUCUUAUACCAUAGGUUUAGAAGCACGAUCUCCAGAGCAUCAGUAACAUCCCAAUUUAGCAGUCAGAGUCAGAUGUGAGUCCUCAUUCUUCGAGGACAUGUUGAUUACAUUAAUAUUUCAGUUUUCAGUUUAUUUCAGUAGAUAGAGUUAGUCAGGGACAUGUCUCAUCAACUUCUUAUUCAAUUUAGUUUAGAGGCUUUCAGAUUAUAGCAUGUCAGAUAGUUAUUUCAGAUUUGCUUUGGUAUUGUUAUACCAUUUUCAGACAUUAUUUUAUCAGAUGUUUAUCAAGUUUGAACCUUAUGGCCUUUCAGUACAUGUUUCUGCAUUUAUACAGUUUAUUAUGCAAUGAUUAAGUACAGAUAUCAGUCAUGGGUUAGCUUGUGGUCCCUCGGGAUCAUGGGUACCGUGUGGUAUUCCAGGUACCAGAUUUGGGGUGUUACAGCGGUUUAUACCACUACCUCAAAUGUGAGAUAGAGAGGUUGUUUCUGAUAAACUCCCAGCUCUAAAAAAAAUAAUCUAUACAAGGAAUAGUAAAAGGACAAGAUAUAAUAUGAAUCAACACAUCCAAUAAUACCAUAUACAAGAUACACCAACUAAUGUAACAAAAGAUACAACAUCCUAAACUCACACUAACCUUCUACCCUAAUCUGUCUCCUCUACAACUUCCUAUCUAGGGUCGUGUCCUCAAUAAGUUGUAGCUACUCCAUGUCAUGUAUAAUCACCUCCCUUUAAUUAUUAUUUGGUCUACCUCUACCUCACUUGAAUCCAUCCCUAUCCAACCUCUCACAACUCUUUACUAGGGAAUCCGUUCCCUUUCUCAUAUCAUGACUUAACCAUCUCAACCUCGCUUCCCUCAUCUUGGCUUCCACUAAAGCCACUCCCACCUUAUCUUGAAUAUCUUUACUUCUAAUCCUAUCUUUCCUAGUAUAUCGACAAAUACACAGAAGCAUUCUCAUCUCUAUCACCUUCAUCUUUUAGGAGUGGGCCUUCUUAACAGGCCAAAACUCCACUCCAGACAACAAAGCCGAUCUAACCACCACUCUGUAAAACUUGCCUUUAACCUUAGGAUUUACCUUAUUAUUGUAAAAGAUUUUUUAGGCAAGCCUCUAUUUCAUCCACCCUAUCCCAAUUUGAUGAGUGACAUCCUCGUCAAUCUGUUCAUUCUCCUGAAUCAUAAACCUUAGGUGUUAAAACUAUCUCUCUUAUUAAUAGAAUGAGUAUCAAGCUUAAAAAACACAUCGAGAUCAUGGGACACCUCGCUAAACUUACACUCCAAAUAUUCUUUCUUGGACCUACUCAACAUAAACCCUUUAGACACAAGGGUUUGCCUUCAAGCCUCAAAUUUAGCAUUAACUUCACUACAUAUCUCAUCAAUCAAAACCACAUCAUCUGCAAAAAUCAAGCAAUAAGACACCUCACCUUGAAUUUUACGCAUUAAAAAAUCCAUCACCAAGGCUAAAAGAAAUGGACUGAGCAUUAAUCCUUGAUAUAACCCUAUUAAGAUAGGAAAGUGCUCUGAGUCCCCUCUCCCGAUCCUAACCCGAUUCUUGGCUUUAUCGUACAUAUCCUUAAUCACCCUAACAUAUACCAUAGGUACACCUCUAGCCUCCAAACAUGUCCAAAUAACCUCCAUGGGAACUCUAUAAUAGGCCUUCUCUAAGUCGAUAAACACCAUGUGCGAAUCCUUCUUCCUUUUCCUAUACUACUCUAACAGUCUCCUAAAUAGAUGAAUGGCUUCAGUAAUCGAGCAUCCUUGAAUAAAUCCAAACUGGUUUUCAAAAAUAGUCACAAUCCUCUGCAACCUCAACUCUAACGCCCUCUCCCAAACCUUCAUAGUGUAACUCAACAACUUGAUACCCCUAUAAUUAUUACAGUCCUGAAUGUCAUCUUUAUUAAUAUACAACGUAAUCAUCGUACUCUACUUCCAAGACUCAAACAUCCUCACCAUCUUGAAAAUAGUGUUAAAUAUUUGAGUCAGCUACUUCAUACCUUCCCCUCUUGUGCACUUCUAAAAAUCCACCAAAAUAUUAUUUGGCUCGUCACUCUACCUCUACAUAUUCUAUGAAUAGCCUCCGUAACCUUCUCAACCUUAAUGUGCCUACAAUUACCAUAAUCGCAAAACCUCCAACACAAUGCUAGUAUCCCUUUCUUCAUUUAAGUUCUUAUAGAAGUACGAUUACUAUCCCUUUCUAAUACGACCCUCCUCCACUAAAACUUUGUCGUCCAUAUCCUUAAUAUACUUCACCUGAUCAAGGUCUUGACUCUUCUGUUCCCUAACCUUGGCUAGCCUGUAAAACUUUUUAUCCCACCUUAACUAUAGAAUAUUGUGUAUAAACUUUAGAAAGCUGCUUCCUUAUCCCUUAUGUCUGCUAACUUUGUCUCUCGCGUAGCAAUAUUAUAUGUCUCCCUAUUCUUCUAUUUAUCCUCUUCAUCCUUACUCUUUGCCAACUUUGCGUAUGUUUUCUUCUUAGCCUCCACAUUCUACGUUACCUCUUUGUUCCAAUACCAAUCCACUUGGUGCUUACCAGAGUGGCCUCAAGAAACAUCCAACACCUAUCUAGUUGUCUCUCUGAUGCAACUGGCAGUCUAUCCUACAUACUAUCAGCAUCCCCUCCAAUCUCUCAAUCUUUCCUCGCCAUCAAGUUAUCCGCUAUAUCAAGUUGAUACAAGAUGAAACUACAUAAAUGAAAAUGACAUAAAAACAAAGGAAACACACUAAAUAUGAAAUCACAAAAAUAAGAAAAUAAGGAAAUGGAACAAUAAAGUAAAAGAUAGAUAGAUUGACAUAAAUCGAUAAUGAGUAGACAACCAAAGGUAUAUUAAACCCUAAGACCUACCUAUCAAUUAUCGAUAACACCAACCUCUUACGAGGACACAAAUGGAAAUGGAUUCUUCAAUACCCACAUUUCUCAACAACUAAAGAAACUCCCAAUAAGUUUCAAUAAUAACACUCUCAAGUGUCAACUUACAUUCAAAAUCAUCUUCCUAAAAAUGAAGAAGGUCCUAGCUAUUUAAAGGUCAAAAGGCCUUCAUUAUAACUUGGGCCCAAAAGUCACCCUAAAUGCAACUUAGGCCUAAAAGUGACCCAAGAGCCAAACCAAUGCAAUGGGCACCCAUACUCUCCCAAAGCCCAAGACAUCAUCCAAAUGUGUGUCGCCCAUUUCUUCCUCAAAGGAUAUCACCAAAUAUAGCUUCUUUCCAAGCUAUCCACCAUUCACGUAUUUGAUCCCCUAAAAUGACCAAGUCUUGGAUCUGUAGAUGUGAUCCUUAAAGCAUCGAUCCCAAUAGAGUGGAGACCAUUGAUCUUGUAUCAUCCUUCCUUUCUUGAAGAGGAUUCGUCUUUGAAUCCAACUCCUUUAUCAACCUGUCGUUGCACCUUUCAAGUUUGGAAUCCUUUGGUAAGAAUUUUGUUAAGCCUUUAAGCUCAUUUUCAUAAGGCAUUCUCCUUGCAUCCUCCUUUUAGAUUGUUUGUUCAUGAACCUACAUAAAUAAAGGAGUAAUACUAGGUAAAAUGCUAGCAUUAUGGUUAGCAAGCAACAAAGGAUCCAUGUUGGAAUUGUCUUUUUCAAUUUGGGAAGACUCAUUGCUUAAUUGGACUUUGAUUAGUUAAACAAUGUCAUGUUGAGCUUGGCUUGUCUUUUUUUGGGUUGAGGAAACAUGUUCUUAAGGUCUUGGGGUACAAUUUUGAAGGUUAAGCCCCGGUGUUAGGUUAAUGAGUCGUUUCUCCAUGUUUCCCAAUGUAUCUUCAAUUUGUGUCAGGGAUCCAUUUAUUUUAUCCACAGUUCGCUACAUCCCUAUGAGAACUUCCAUAAGGGAAUCAAUGGUUGCUCCACCCGUAUCCUCUUAGAAUAUAUUGUAGAAAAGAGAGGAAGUAACUAUUGAUGAUGCAUUUAAAAAGUAAGGACUUGACUCAAUGACAUUGACAAAGAAAGAAACGAUAAGAACUCAACGAAAGAAUAAAAGACAAAACAAAGACUUGAAGGACUUGAAAUCAAAGUUAAACUAAGAAAACAAUAGAUAAAAGAGAGAAAACACAAGAAUUAAGACACGAAAGAAUAAUGAAUCAAGAACUAAUUGAACAACUAAGUAGAUUACGGUUUAGUUAUUAAUUAGUUUUAAGAAUCAAAGAAAUGAAAGGAGGAAUUAAGUGAUGAAAUUAAUGGUUUGAACCUAAUUUAAUGGAGUUUUUGAAGUGUUGAUAUGUGCUUUAGAGCUUGAACUGGUGUUGGAGAAGUGUUGAAAUGCGUUUGGGUGCGUUUAGGGGUUGUUUUGCAUUAGAACAUGCUAAAGUGGAUGUAGGGCAGACCGGGUGCACAUGGGAAGCACCACCAAUGUAGGAGCUACUGUUUUGGGCUUCCUUGGACCUACUUUAGUAGGUCAGGCGCAUCUCCAUGGUAGAUGCAAGGCAGAUGGGCUGAAAUCAGCUUGUACAAGGCCAAAAAUGCCCUCUUGUGGUUCCCCUUUGUUCUCUUCUUUAGAAUAUUCUCUUGGAUCUUCAGAAAGGUGCUUCUACAAACACUUUUGUACAGAUUUUUCUUCACUUUUGAUGAUCAAACAAACACUUUUUGAAUACAAUUCCUCUUGAAGAUUUGAAUUUCUCCAAGAGCACUUAAGAACACAAAAAACUUCAAAAAUCUCCAACUCUUAAAUCGUUGAUUGGAACGAGAUGAAAUUUUGAACCAAGGCUAUUUUCAACCUUCUAAACACAUUCCAAGCAUAAUUUUGUUCAAAUUCUCAAACAAAAAUUCCAUAUUUUAACUCCACUUUCAACCGUAAAACUUGAGUUUCUCAAUAAUGGUAGACCCUCCUAUUCACCUCCGAUUGAGCUGAAAUUCAAGGUUUAGACUCUAGUAGUAUUAGAGAACAAGAAUCUAACACCAAAACACAAGAAAAACAACAAAAUCAAUGACUUAAAAUUUGAAAUAAAGAUAAAAACAUAAAAGUGAAAUUUUUUUAGGAUUUUUUAUUUUCCAACAUGACACACAAGAUUGACUUUAUGGGAAUGAAAUAAAUCUAGGCUCUGAUACCAAAUGAUACAAGACGAAAGUACAAAAAUGGAAAUGACAUGAAACAAAUGGAACACACUAAAUAUGAAAUCACAAAAACAAGGAAACAUGGAAAUGGAAUGAUAAAGUAAAAGAUAGAUACAAAAAAAAAAAAUCCAGUGUAUUCCCACAUAGUGAGGUCUGGGGAGGGUAAGAUGUACGCAGUCCAUACCUCUACCUCUAAAGAAGUAGAAAGGUUGUUUCCGAUAGACCCCCGNNNNNNNNNNNNNNNNNNNNNNNNNNNNNNNNNNNNNNNNNNNNNNNNNNNNNNNNNNNNNNNNNNNNNNNNNNNNNNNNNNNNNNNNNNNNNNNNNNNNNNNNNNNNNNNNNNNNNNNNNNNNNNNNNNNNNNNNNNNNNNNNNNNNNNNNNNNNNNNNNNNNNNNNNNNNNNNNNNNNAAACUACCCGUAGCCUUCUGCCCUAAUUCGCGUCCUCCAGAUCUUCCUAUCUAGGGUCAUGUCCUUAGUGAGCUGUAACUGCUCCAUGUCCCUCCUAAUCACCUCUCCCUAAUACUUCUUCGGCCUACCCCUACCCUGCCUAAAACCAUCCAAAGUUAGCCUCUCACACCUACGAAUGGGGGCAUCCAUGCCCCUCCUCAUCACGUGUCCAAACCAUCUCAAUCGGACUUUCUGCAUCUUAUUCUCCACUGGAGUUACCCCAACCUUCUUCCUGAUAGUCUCAUUCCGAACUCUAUCCUCCCUAGUCAGCCCACACAUCUAACGCAACAUCCGUAUUUUCGCCACCUUCAUUUUUUGAAUAUGGGAGUUCUUAACUGUCCAACACUCCGCUUCAUACAACAUGGCCGAGCGGACUACCACCCUGUAGAAUUUGCCUUUAAGCUUGGGCGGCACCUUCUUAUCACACAAAACCCCUAAAGCGAGCUUCCACUUCAUCCAUCCCGCCCCAAUAUGGUGUGAGACAUCCUCAUCAAUCUCACCGUUACCCUGAAUCACAGACCCGAGAUACUUGAAACUAUCCCUCUUACAUACCACCUGUGAUUCUAACUUCACUACCACCUCAUUCUCCAGCCUCACGUCAUUAAACUUGCAUUUCAAAUACUUUAUCUUGCUCCUACUCAACCGAAACCCUUUAAGCUUAAGGUUUUGUCUCCACACCUCUAAUUUAUCAUUCACACCCCCCCACGUAUCAUCAAUCAAAACUACAUCACUUGCAAAAAUCAUACACCAAGGAAUUUCUCCUUGAAUACGCCAGGUCAAUACAUCUAUCACCAAAGCAAACAAAAAGGGACUAAGAGUAGAUCCCUAAUGCAAUCCUGUCAUGAUAGUGAAAUGCUCUGAGUCUCCUUCCGUCGUCCUCACCUGAGUUUUAGCUCCAUCAUACAUGUCCUUAAUUGCUCUGAUAUAUGCCACCGGGACUCCACUCAUCUCCAAGCAUCUCCAAAGCACUUCCCUGGGGAAUUUGUCGUAUGCCUUCUCCAAGUCGAUAAACACCAUGUGCAGGUCUUUCUUCCUUUCCCUAUACUAUUCCACCAGCCUCCGUAAUAGGUGAAUUGCCUCCGUCGUCGAGCGGCUAGGUAUAAAUCCAAACUGGUUCUCCAAAAUAGACACUAUCCAUCUCAGCCUCACCUUGACCACUCUCUCCCAAAUCUUUAUAGAGUGACUUAAUAACUUAAUACCCAUAUACUUAUUGCAACUCUGAAUGUCCCCCUUGUUCUUAUAAAGAGGAAUCAUAGUACUCCACCUCCAAGCCUCAAGCAUUUUCUCCAUCUUGAAAAUUUCAUUAAAUAAUCCAGUCAACCACCUUAAACCAGCCUCGCCAGAAAACUUCUAAAAAUCCAUCGGUAUCUCAUCGGGCCCCGUCGCCCUACCCCUUCGCAUCCUGUGAAUAGCCUCUCUAACCUCCUCUACCUUAAAAUGUCUAUAAUAACUAAAAUCUCGACACUCCUCUGAGUGCUCCAGCUCCCCUAACACAAUAGCUCUAUUCCCUUCGUUAUUCAAGAGCCUUUGAAAAUACGACUGCCAUUUAUUCUUAAUGUGGCCGUCCUCCACCAACACUGUACCGUCCUCCAACUUAAUGCACUUCACCUGGUCAAGGUCAUGACCCUUCCUCUCCCUAGCCUUAGCGAGUCUAAAUAAUUUUUUUCCCCUCCUUUCUCCUGUAACCCCACAUACAAGCUCUCAAAAGUUGUCGUCUUAGCCACCGUAACUGCUAACUUAGCCUCCUUCCUAGCUAAUUUGUACUCUUUCUUGUUUACCCGCUUCUCUUAUUUAUCCUUACUCUCAACCAACUUAGCAUACGCCCCUUUCUUGGUUUCCACUUUCUUCUUAACCUCUUCAUUCCACUACAAAUCCCCCCAAUGAUGCCCGGACAAGCCCCUAGAAAUACCCAACACCUCACUAGCAUUCUCCCUGAUGCACCUAGCCACCCUAUACCACAUACUAUCCACAUGCCCACUACACUCCCAUACCUCCAUUCUCGCUAACUUCUCCCCUAUCUCCUACGUAUUCACUGGCGUUAAGCCGCCUCACUUAGAUCUAGGUCUACACUCCUUACUCCUUCUCUUCCUAUCCUUCUUUAUACCCAAAUCCAUAACCAAGAGCCUAUGCUGGGUCGAAAGAUUCUCACUCGGAAUGACCUUACAAUCCUUAUACAACACCCUAUCCCCUUUCUUAAGCAAUAAAAAGUCAAUUUGAGUCUUGGCUAUUGCACUUCAGAAGGUGAUCAGGUGAUCGUCCUUCUUUGGGAAGCCCGAGUUCACCACCACCAGCCCAAAGGACCUCACAAAAUCCAGUAGAGUGGACCCCUCUUCAUUUCUUUCCCCAAAACCAAAACCACCAUGCACAUCACUAAAGUCUCCCGGUAAAGCCCCUAUGUGCCCAUUGAAAGCUCCUGCUACAACAAUCUUCUUCGAGCUAGGCACGCCUCUCACCACCUCAUCCAAAGCCUCCCAAAACUGCAUCUUCUCCUCCCCAUCCAAGCUCACUUAUGGUGCAUAAGCACUACGUUCAGGGUAAACCCCCCAAUGACUAACUUAAUAGUCAUCAACCUAUCGCUGAUCCUCUUUACCUCUACUACCUAACCUCUAAGCUCUUCAUCUACUAAGAUGCCAACUCUAUUUCUACGCCUCUCACUCCCAAAGUACCAAAGCUUGUAACCAUCCAUAUCCCUAGCCUUAGACCCUACCCACUUUGUCUCUUGAACAAACGCAAUAUUAAUCCGCCUUUUUCUAAGAAUCUUCACAAGCUCUAUGGACUUACCCUGAAGAGUCCCUAUAUUCUAAGACCCGACUCUCAGCCUACCAUCUCUAUCAACACGUCUUCCUCUAUCGCCCCUGAGGCCAAACCUUGGCCUCCCUCCCACUCCCCUUUUUUUCUCUUCCCCCGCCCCCACAAUAGCCCCCUGCCCCAACCCCCUCGGACAUAACCCUAUCCAACCAUCAACGCCCACAGCCACUACUACAAGAAAAUAUAAGAAAAUAUAAACAAUGGUAGUAACAAAGUAGUAGCAGGAAAUACAAGGCUCACACAAAUUAAAAGAAAUAAUCAAGAAAUAAAACUAAACUCAAAUAGGGAGAAAAAACAAAACCGAGGUAAGGACAAAACAAACAAUAAGAAAAAUAGAGCACACUAAUGGCCUGGCACCAAGGAAAAGACAAGGAUAUGAAGAAAUCAAACUAUAUAAAGUUACAAAAGAACCAAAGUUCGGAUGUCAGAUGCCUCCGUGCUACUGAUCCGGCAAGGUUAGUGUUAAAAAGUGUUUGUCGGAAUAAGGUCGACGGGAAAGAAGCCGCUAGUUAUAUCACCGAAAUAUCCCCAGAUAUUUGCCGAAGCUUCUUCAAAGACAUUAGAAUCUGGAUAUCAUCGAACAUCGGCCUACCUGUUAGGCCACUGAUGAGUACCUCCCCCGUUACCUGAGUCGAACCGGCAGGAACCCUAGCCCACCAGCGAUAGCUGCAAUGGGAUAAGAAAGGGGGUGGGGGUGGGGGAGAUGAGAAUAAGAAACUGGGAGAGAGAGAUUUGAAGAGUGAGAGAGAAAGAGGGAGAUAGGGUAGAUCUUGUACGCUUCUGGAACUUCUGCGUCGUCGCCGGCGUUAGAGUUUGCCUAUCAGUCGAGGUGGUAACAUUAAAUUAAACGUUAGAGAGAGAAGAAAGAGGUUAGAGAGAGAAAGUUAGGUCCUCAACCAAAGGGUAUAUUAAACCCUAAGACCUUCCUAUCAAUUACCAAUAAAACCAACCUCUUACGAGGACACAAAUAGAAAUAGAUUUUCGAGCACCCACAUUUCUCAACAACUAAAUAAACUCCCAACAAGUUUCAGUAAAAACAAUCUUAAGUUUCUUUGUUUUGAUCCUCUUAACCUCUACCACUUGCUUUCUAAGCUCAUCAUCUACUAGGAUACUUACACCAUUCCUGUUCCUCACGCUUCCUGAGUCCCACAACUUAUAACCAUCCACUACCCUCGUAUUAGUACCUACCCAAUUGGUUUCUUGGAGACAAGCUAUAUUAAUAUGCCUUUUACUAAGAAUUUUCACUAGCUAUAUUGACUUCUCUGAUAAAAACCCUAUGUUCCACAACCCUACUCUCAACCUAAAGUUACACUUAUCCCUUUUACCCUUCCUACCCCCUUAUUCUGCCCCAGCCCCUGCCCUGGCCUACAACCCCAACCCAAGCCUUGUCCGAAGACAUGACCCUAAGAUAACACCAUCUACCACAGCCAUCAGAAACUGCACCAACCAAUAACACUAAGAACACACAGCCUAGAUAAUAAUUCAAACCAUAAAAAGGUACUAUCAAGCCCACGCUAUAGAACUAUUAGGAACAACAUAAAUGACUAAAACACUAGUAGAAUUAACAACACCCUAAAUAAUAGCCACUACUAUGAAAUAUAGAACUAAACAAAUAAAUUGCCACCUAUAAGCAAGAUAGUCAUCCAAGGCACAAUGAAAAAUGGGAUCAAAAUAAGAAUAAUACAUAAGAUAAACAAUAACAGCUGCUACAACCAAAAAAUCUAUACAUAAGACACUAGAAGAGAUAGAGCAAGUGCACCUGAUCGAAGCUACGACAAAAAUUGGUCACCAAUUUACUUGGUUGAGUCUAUGGAUUCUGACAAGUGUUGACAAAAAUUAGUCACCGGAAUCGUGUUGUUGCUAUCGAAGAAGGAAUCCCAGAUCUAGAAUUGUAGUACCUAUAAGAGGGUAAAAAAAAGAAAGAGAGAAAAGAGAGAUGCUUGGAAAUGGGUUGCUGGGAAUGAGGCACUGGAAAAUGCACCUAUAUUAACACUGAUAUGAAGAAGUCACCAGUAGAGAUAAGGUCGCUGGUAGAGAAGAAGUCACCGACAGCGAGAGUCACCAAUAAAGAGAAGAAAGAUUUCAAAGAGAGUCGACGGCAGAAAGUAUGACGUUUAUCAAUUAGACAAGUUGGAUAUUAUAACUGACAUGCCUUUUUGUAAAAGUUAAAAUAACCUACAAUGGCAAGUAGUUUCAAGGGUAUAGGAUGCGUUAAACCCAUAUUCCCCUUUUAGUGCUAGAUACUACUCCAAAAAUUAUAGUCACGACCUGAUUUAUGAUUCAUGAUGGUCCUACUAAAUCCAGCCAGUAGGUAAGCCAAUACCUUAACCCAAAGUUAACAUAAUGGGUUAAUUUGAUAGGGAAAUACCCUGCAUAGGCCAAAUUUAAUGAACACAAGUCAUAAAUAAACAAAGUGUUUUAAAUUGACAAAUAGUCAUCAUAAGAUACCAAUUCUAUGACUUGGUAGAGCCACUACAAGAGCAUCUAAUGUCAAUAAUACAACCCAAAAGACUUAUAAUAUUGUCAAUACAUCUAUCUUGAUACUAAAUACUGAAUAACAAUAAGAUAGAUGGAAAUAGGUGACUCAAAACUCCAAGAUCUCACCCUAUCUCCAAAAGAUCAACUCUAUACGAACAAUACUCAACAGGUAUAGCUAGUACUCAAAUUUACACCAAAAGGUACAAAAGUAUAGUAUGAGUACUGAAACAAUAGGUAUUCAGUAAGCAUCAUUGGCCAAUUGAGCUAAGUCAUGGUAUAAAAAUAAUAUAAUGGAAGAUAAAAUAACUAGGUCAAGGUACAGAAUCAAACCCGAAUCUUCUCCAUUAUCAUUGUGCACAAUUAGUACAUAACUAAAACAAUAAUAAUAAUAAUAAUAAUAAUAUAAUGUAAAGAAUCAAGAUCAUGCAAACAUAACUAUAAAAUUGGCUCCCAUAUGCCAAUUGGUGCAAAAAGUAAAGAACUUAUCACAACAUCCCAUACUACUGGAGAGUACACUCAAGAGAAAAUAAAGCAAACAUUCAACAUUAUAUUUAACCUGCAUCAUCAUUCAACCAUCACUCCAACUUUUAUCAUUAUACGGCAUUGUACCACCACUUGGCAAUUUACCAAUAUUAUACCUACUAUAUGUAGUUUUGAUGAUGACCAGCUAACUGCAAGGGACCAGGUCCCUCGAUGUACAAGUUACAAUACAACUGGCACGUGUUGUAUGCACAGUUUUGUCCUUUUGAGUAUUAAACUUGCAGGUGCUAUUUUGUACUGAUUAGGAAAGAUGGUCCAAUGAUUUUUCAUCCCUAUCAUCACUCAGCUAUAUAAGUAAAGAGACACCUCUUCAUUAAAUGAGGUUUUGCACAAAUCUAAAACGUGAAGUAAAACAAAAAACUCCAUUUUCAAGAUUGCUCAAGCAUUGCUCAUGUUCUUUUCUUUGUAAUAUGCUUAAAGAAUGAGUAAGUAUUCUUGAGUGAUGAUUUGUAACUAAACUACUCAUGCUAUAAGAGUAGUAUUUUUCACUUUGAGUAGAAAGUGCUUAGGCAGAGUUGCUUAAGUGUGAGGCUGAUUAGAGUCAAUCAGUGAAGAAAUCCUUAGUAGAGUUACCAAGAUGAGUUUGUAGUAGAGUUAUUACAAGAGAAGGAAGCCAAGAGGUAGGAUGAAAUCUAGACUGUAAUCAAGAGGUUGAUUAUAGUGGAUUUCUUUGGGGUUUGUGAGGGUAAGCUGUGGUUUUUCCCUUCCAGGGUUUCCACGUAAAAAUUUAUGUGUUUUUACUCUUUCUGCAUUAUUUGUUACUUUCUAGUUAUUUUUGUGUAUUUUGCCUGUGAUUACUUUUUAGGGGUCUGGUCCCUCACUAUGUGGUGCAACCCUAAGAGUCCCUACAAUAACAUAAUCCACUAUUCAACUACAACUUAUUUAUUAUCACAACCUUAGAUAUCAAUUGACUCCACUUAUCUACUAAGCAUAAAUUACUUACGAGGUCUUUCUUCAUGAUUACUCAACACUUAAACAUUUCAUCAUGUCAUAGUGUAUACCCAAACAUGAACAAAAAAAAAAUAUUUAGUCAUCAAUAGCAUAAUAAACAAGGUAAUCAUGUCUCAUAUUUACCAACAAUAUCAUCAAGUACAAAGAUUUUUCACCAUCACCUCAAUAACACUUUUCAAGAGUCUAAUAGGCAUAAAUAUUCACCAAAGCUAACAUGUUUCAUAGCCUAAGGUGGGUUAGGAGUCCACUUUAAUCCUCGAGUUCCAAUUUUUUCUAUUUCUACUUGUACUAGGCUUAUGAUAUUGAAUUAUAAUUUUAAGAUGUCAACAAGCCUUAAUAUUCCCUAAGAUAGGGAGUUUUCCUAAAAGGUGAGGAACUAGGUUAAUUAUGCCUAAUAUGAUUAACUUAAGUCAUUCAUCUACUAAGCAUGAAGGAUAAAGUCUAAUUCACCUAAAUCUCAAGGGAACAAGCUAAAGGAUUCAAGCUUAUGGUGUCAAAAGAGCCUAAACAGCUCAACUAACCCCAAGACUAGUAAUUCAUCAAACCAAGACCUAAAACCCAUCCCAAUCAAACAUAAUAUCAUAAUUAUACUAUGAAAUAGUUUAAUCUAACAAGGGUUAAACCUAGCCUACCUCAACCCAAAAGAAUGCUCAACAAUUCUCUAAACCAUCGCAUUUCCCUUUUUAUAAGCCUCUUCAAGAUGCCAAGCUAUCAAAAACGCAUUUCACUCAUCAAUAUAAGAAUAUCGAUACCAAUAUUGCACCAUUAUGCUUUGGGUCCAAAAAUCAUGCCAAAACCCUAUGUGGGUCCCACUCAUAAAAAUCAUGUUUUAGAGACUAGCCCAACAUGAUAUCAAGCUCAUGGAAUCAAAACCCUCAAAAAUAGGUGAAAACCAAGCUAAUUUGGGCUAAAAUAAAGCCCUAAAGGAUUUGGGGCUUUGGUCAAAAAUUCCAAAAAUUCAAGCAUGAUUUUGAAGGAUUCUUACCUUAAAUCUAAAGAUAUUUGCGAAAAUAUAUGUUAAUCAAGCUCCUAAGUCAUACCCAAGACACAAUUCUAAGUUAUCACACUCUUUUAGGGUUCUUGGCUCUCAAGGAUGAGUGGAAAAUGACCAAAACGUGGCCUAAGGGGUCAUUUUAUACCCAUGCCAGGUGUUUAGGAAUGACUAUCGCACAAAAGGGUAUGAAAUCACACUACUUGAGUGUAGGAGCAGGCAUGUCAUUGCCAUCCUCCCUUGUACAAUCUCAGUACUUGCUGUCAGCACAGCUGACAGUUAAAACUUGGAGAUUUUCCAACUUUUCACUAAUGCCUCAGGAUUCAUUCAGAAUCUGAUUUAUGCAAACGAACUAUGUUACCACACUAAAUUCGAUGUUCCAUACACAAUGGCAAAGUUGGAUUUUCCAUUUGAGGUAAUUUCAACCAACUAUUGGUCCCACACCCAUAAUUUAAAUUUUCCAACUUUUCGACCAAUAGGUCAAAAUGAGCUUAGGUGCAUCGGGACCCAAACCAAAGGUCUACCUAUCCUAAAAUUGAUUUUUUGAGUUGUUGGUAAAGUCAAAAUUUGUAUCCAAGAUUGUUUUACUAAAGUUUUCACUUGGUGGCCAUUUGGAACCAGCGAAUACUUCUAAACAAAUAAUUGGAUUUAAAAAACAAAUGAACUACUCAGUAACUGAACUGUCAGCUCCAACAAGUCAUAAAUGACAGAGGUAGCUAUGGAAAAGCUCUAACAACAAUAAUAAGAGGAAAUAAAGAAAAUGACCUAAAGGGUCAUUAUAAUAUCCACUACUAAAGGAACUUUUGUCCCUGAAAGUGAAAGAUUAAUAAAUACCUGAAGUCUCAAACAGGUGAGGAUACUAGGACCACAUCUCGCUCUCGAUCUCCCAAGUGGCCUUCUCCAUUUGGGCAAUGUCUCCACUGAACCUUAACUAUAGAAAUCUCCCUUGUGUGCAACCGCCUCACAUCACUCACCAAAAUAAACAAUGGCUCCUCUUUAAAGGUCAAACGCUCAUCCAACUAAACUAAGUCCCAUCUAAGCACAUAAGACGAAUCGAGAAAUAUCACCUCAACAUAGAGACAUGGAAAGCCAAAUAAACUGUGGAAUAAUCUUGAGGCAAAGAUAACUCAUAGGUGACCUUACUAAGUAUGUGAAAAAUGUCAAAAGGUACAACAUAUAUCGGACUGAUCUUACCUUUCUCCUAAAACUUAUCAUACCCUUCAUAGGUGAUAGGCAGAGGAAUACAUUUUUACGAACCUCAAAUCUCAAGCCACGAAGCCUACGGUCUGCAUAUGCCUUAUACCUACUCUGAGCCACUCUAUACCUAUCCUAAAUCACCCUAACUCUAUCCAAUAACUCUAGAAGCAUACCCAUACUACAGGGCCUAACCUCAGAGGUCUCAAGCCAUCCAAUCAGACAAUGACAUCUCCUACCUUACAAAGCCUUAGAAGGCUCCAUCUUAAUACUCAAACAAUAGUUAUUAAUAUACAUGAACUCUGCCAAGUCUAAGUAUUAUUCCCACUGGCAUUCAAAAUCCAUAACGCAGUCUUGGAGCAUAUUCUAAGUCACCUGAAUAGUCUAUGCAGAAUGAGAUGAAAGAUUAUACUCAAAUCCACCUGACUGCCCAGCUCCUCCUAAAAUGCUCUCCAAAACCUCAAAGUGAACACAAAACCAUGAUUUGAAAUAAUAAAAUGGGUCCCCCAUGCAAACAAACUAUCUCUCGAACAUAGAUUUGGCCUAAUCUCUCAACAUUGAAAGUCAUCUAAAUUGGAAUGAAAUAUGCUAACUUGGUAAAAUGACCCACAAUAAUCCAUAUACUAAUGAAACCACUGGAAGAACGAGGCAAACCGCUAAUGAAGUCCAUACUAAUUUGUUCCCAUUUCUACUAAUUAAUGGGAAACCUUUGAGUCAAACCACCUGGUCGCUGAUGCUUGGCCUUGACUUGCUGAUAAUAGAGGAAAUAAGCUAUAAAGUCUACCACAUUUCCACUAAUAGUGUUGUCUCAAAUCUCUAAACAGCUUGGCUGUGAUAGGGUGGAUAAAAUAUCUAGAACUAUGAGUCUUAAUUAAAAUUAACUGAAUCAAGUUUAAAUCUGAGAAAUAUAAAUACGGCAAUCAAAUCUCAAAACACCCUCAGAACAAUGGUGUGUCUCUCAGACUCGCCACUCAAUACUUGAUCUCGAAGAAAGCAAAGCUUACCAUCCUCAAACUGAUGAUCUCAAAUCUGCUCAAAGAGUGAGGACCUUAACUCCACACUAGCCAAAAUCCUCCUAGGAUCUAAAAUAUUAAGGUAAACCAUCAAGUUAACCAAGGAUUGAAUAUCUCGUGCUAAUGGCCUUGAAAUGCUGAAAUACAAGCUAAACUGUCCAUACUCACUGCCUUACGACUCAAGGCAUCUGCUACCAUAUUUGUCUUGCCUUGCUGAUAUAAGAUGGAUAUAUCAUAGUCCUUAAGCAACUCCAUCCAUCUAUGUUGUCGAGCAUUAAGCUCUCUCUGGGUUAUUAGUUAUUGAAUACUAUGAUGAUUAGUGAAAAUCUCAUAAUGCAUACCAUACAAAUAAUGCCUCCAAAUCUUAAGCAUGAAAACUAUCGUCGCCAACUCUAAAUCAUGUGUGAGGUAGUUGCACUUAUGUACCUUAAGCUGUCUAGAAGCAUAAGCAAUAACAACUCUGUUGUAUUAAUACACAACCUAGCCUAACACCAAACAUCUCACAAAACCCGAUGAAUCCCCUACCUCAAUAGGAAGAGAUAACACAGAAGUUGAAGUAAAAAAGUCCAUGAUCUUUCCAAAGCUCAACUCACACUCCUCGAACCAUCAGAAAGGAACCUCCUUUCGAGUUAAUCGGGUCAUAGAGAUUGAAAUAGUAGCAACACCCUCAAUGAAGCAUCUAUAAUAACCGGCCAAACUAAUGAAGCUAUGAACCUUAAUAGGAGAUUUAGAUCUAGCCCAAUCAUUCAUUGCCUUAAUCUUGGCAGGGUCUACUAUAAUUCCUUUUUUAGACACCACAUGUCUAAGAAAUGUCACUGACUCAAGCCAAAACUCACACUUGGAGAAGUUGGAAAAAAGAAAAUAAUCCUUCAAAGUCUGGAGCACGAUUCUUAAAUAUUGAACAUUUUCCACUCUACUACUUGGAUAUACAAGGAUGUCGUCGAUGAACACAAUCAUAAAAAAAUACAAAUAAGGGCUUAACUAGUGACUACAUCAAGGGAUCUUUCCUACUCCUAGCGAGAUGAUGUAGCAUAAAACUAGUUCUAAUACUGAUUUUCACUAGUAUUGGAAGUUAUGCUCUACAACAGAAGUAGGUGGCCCGACUGAGCUACUAAAGUAGUGGGCUGAGCCUAAUCGCGAACAUCUCUGUUGCCCCUAUUUGUGAAGAUCCAGUCCCUCAUAUGGUCCAUCUUUCCACAUAUAUAGCACCCUAUUCUACCAGCCAAAUACUCACCUCAAUAAUUUCCACCAUAUUUCUUGCAGAGUGGAUAACUAGAUCCCUCAAUGCUAUCCUAGGAUUUAGAAGUCGGUGCUCUACCACCAUACUCAUACUUAUUUCUAGGUGUAGGGGCACUGGCUGCGGACAGUGAAGUGCUAAAGAAUGGCCCUAAAAUUAAGAAUAAUUUUCCCUCCUAAUCUCUACUGCCUAUACUCAAACUAAUCGAUCCUAACCCUUUUAUUCUCAUUCUUUACUUCAUUUAAGCAUGAGUCAAAUAAGCAAUAUCCAUAUCCUCAAUCAACAUGGCAUUCCCAUACUUCUUGACUACCAAAUCAGACACACUAGUGAUAAUAUUACUCAUACGAGCUCUAAAAUCUGGAAACAAUGCUAGUACAAACUUACCUAGCUGAGUGAACUUAGGAGAAUACUCAUUCAUCAACAUAGAGCCUUGUCUCGAGUUUAUAAACUCAUCUACCUUAGACUCUCUCAUAUCCCUAGUAAAGAACCUAUCUAGAAAGUCAUUUGAAAUGCAUCUCAACUUAUAGAAGCUUUAUUCUUACCCCUACUUUUCUUUCAUAUAGUAACCCAGUCAUAAGCAGCAUCUUUCAAUUGAUAAGAACCCAAUUCAACACUAUUCUCUAUAGUAACAUGCAUAAUCUGGGUAAUAUUUUUUAUCUCAUCAAUGAAAAACUAAGGAUCUUCAUUCAGCUUUGACCCAAAGAACUUAGGUAGGUUUAUUUUCUCAAAAUCCUGAACAAUAGUUGCAACUAAGUUACUAUUCUUCUGAAGUGAGAUUGAUGAUGGUUGAUUACCUUGAGCAUUUGUAUUCACAUCUUGAGAAAACACUUGGAAAGAAUCCUGAAACUCAGCUUGAGAGAUAUUUUAGUUCUAAAGGUCUUUAGGUGUGGUUGGGACUCGUUGAUCCUCAUUUUUAUGUGCAUAAGCUUGAUGUGCUAUGAAUUUAUAGCACAAACGAUGCUUAAAAUUAGAUAAUAUGCAUGUAAUUAAGGCUAUUUUGUUGGUUUUUAUGUGUUUGUAGAGUGAUUUUGCAAGAAACUAGGUUUUGGAUGCUAAAUGAAAGAAAAGGAAGAACAUUUGAGUUUUUAGAUACUUACCGAGGCAUUUUGGGGCAUAAGUGCCACUUACUGAGUGUAGGUGAAAAAAAUAGGUGCCAGAACUUGAAGUCCAGAGGAUCAGAAGUAGGAAAAAAAUAUGUUGUCACUUACCAAGGGCACCUAUGGUCUGUAUAUACUAUAUACAAUCCAUAGGUGACCUAAGUAAGUGUCAAAGGGUCAAAUCUAAAGAGUUUCAUGAUAGAGAAGGAGGUAUAGCACAUAUCAAGGACCAUAUGUGGUUCGUAUGUAGUACAUAUGAUCUGUAGGUGGCCUUUGUAAGUGUCCACUGACCUCAACUUUUUUUGGAUCAUUUCAAUAUUGUUACCUACGAUUUCCAAUGUAACAUAAACCUACUUCGAUGAUGUUUUUAGUCCUUAUUAAGCAUGUUUAGUUAAGUUUUCCUAUUUUGGUUAGGAUUUGAAUUCUAGGGUUUCUUGUAAUCUAUAAAUACCCUUUACACUUUGUUUAGUAAGAGGAUGCUAAUUUAGGCCCUUUGUGGCAAAGUUCACAUUUUUUACUAACAUCUUAUUGUUCUUAGUAUGUUCUUGGUUUGUUAUUCAAUUUAAGACUUUGGGAUUUCUUCUUUCAUUACUAUGAGAUUGAUUCUAUAAGUUUGUCUGUAGAUUCCAUGAUUGAUCUCACAACUAUGAGCGGCUAAUUUUCUUAGCUAGGGUUGUGGGAACCCUGGUGGAUUAAUGAAGUAGAGAAAGUUCUAAGUUGUUAUAUGUAAAGAUUCUUGCAUGUAUUAGAUUUUCUUUGUUCUUAAUGAUAUCGUAACGGGAGCACAUAUUAAGAUCCCACCUAGAAUAUCACUACUUACUCUAUAAGAGGAAUAGUGACUAGGAAAAAGAGAUCACAAUGGUGAUUUAAGGUUAACUGGUGAAAUAAGCUUACAUGUACUAUUUUCUUAAGAUGGUGAACUUUUAUCUAAUAUCUUGAGACUUAAAAGGUAAAAGUUAAACUGAAUCUAAGAUAAGGGUUAGUAAGGUGACACCCUGAGACUCAAAAGGUAAAGAGUGAGAUCCGACAAUAAGUCCACAAGAUAGUUGAUGGUACAUAACUUAUCAGAUUCUAUAUGCAAGAUCGAAAUAGUUUGAUAGUGCAUGAUAACUCUGCAAAGUUGAGAAGCCAGGUGGAAUAUAAGCCUAGUCUUUAUCUUAGAUUAUUUACAAUAAAAAACAACCAAUUCUCGCCCCUUUUACUAUUUCAGCAAAUCCUUUCUUUUUACUUUUCUGCACUGCCCAGUGAUUUAAACAAGUUUGAGAAUGAUUUCUAACGUAUUCUUUAUGGCAUCGACCCCAACCUAGUUGGGUUACUAUAUUUUGAUAGCGAGUGCUUUGUCCUUCUAAGGAGGGGUAGUUUGGGCAUUACCAAGUUUUAGCAUCGUUACAAGGUAAUACGAUUGUAGAUUGACUGAUUGGAGUUAUUGACAUUGUUAGGGUUUUCUUUUCUAUUCUUCUUCAGGCAUACACUACAAUGUGCCUACUCUUCUUGAUAUGACAAUUUGGCCAAAUGAAGUAUUGAGUGAUGAAGACUUCUUGAUUAUUAAUCCCUAUCUUUUUGAUAUGGUAUGUUAUUACAGGAGUAUGGUAGAUAUAGUUUGUAAGCACAAAGAUAGCCUAUUGGAAACACUAACACAUAUUUAAAAAGUUGAUAGGUUUGGCAUAAAUAUUUAUCAGUUACCACUUACUAGUAGAUUUGGAUGUAAAAGUUGUUACAUCUAACACCCAACAACUUAGUUAUAGCUGGUGUGAGACUGGAAAAUUCUGAGAAGCCAACUUGAAGAGCUAAAAUUAGAGGAGCCUAAGAUUUCUCAUACUCUUAUGGAUAGUAUCACUCCUAAGGAGAGCAUACUAGAGUUAUGUAGGGAUGUAAAUAAGACUUUGGUUCCUGAAGUGGGGCAUAUUGGACCUCAUUCAAAAUAUUUCUCCACAUUAUGUUUGGAUAUUCAAAUCUGGUUCGGUCCAUCUAAACUUGAAGAGGAGUGCAAUAAGGAGGAAAUAUAUGUCUACAUUCUUGAAUUUAUUGAGCUAUAAUCAUAAAACUAUAUUCCUCAUGUAAGGGCCAAGAAGUAUAAUAUGUCAUAUCUAUUUAUUUGGUCUUUUAUUUUUAUACCUCUGCCCCAUGAGAAUAAUGAGAUACCAGAAAAAUAAUUAAGGGUGUAAUUUAUAAGUUCAAAGUAGAAAGAGAAAAACUAGAAGCCAACUCUUGGGCUACCUUAAUGAAUGAGUAAUCAAGGUACCCAUGGACUUGUUGGGGAAGUCAGAGUACCCAACCAAGCCCCAUCAUGAUGCGACAUUAAAACAGGCACUGCUUGGGAGGCAACCCAAGGUAUUUUGUUGUUUGUAUUUGUGAUAUUAUGAUUAACGUUGAAUCUGCGCACCUAUGGUGCCACAGGUAUGUUUCUAACUCUCUUACUUUGUAGUGUCCCAAUGCAUUAGGGACAGUACAUGAUUUUAGGUUGAGGGUGGGAUUGUUUAUGGGUCUUGAUAUCCUCUUAGGGUUUUGUUGUCGUGCCUCUUUUCCUUGGAGUCCUAUUCCAAGUAGAGUCGCCAUGUUUAGGUGUGUUGUGUUUUGUUUUAUGAUGUUCUAUGUUUAACUAGCAGAGAAAUUAGUAUUCAAGGAAGUUGAUAUAAAGUGUUGAAACUGAUACCACUUAACUAUGUGAUAUGUAUAUAUAUGUGUGAAUAUUGUGAAUCUAGUUAUGGCAUUAGGAUUAGGGAUAUUAUAAUCACUGCUAAUAAUUGCAUGAACCGGACAAGUAGUAGCUUAUGAUGUAACCCUAUGCCAUGUGUGUGAGAGAUACUACUUAGUUCUCUUUGUGUGUUCAAUCUAGAACUUGCUCAGUUAGUCUUGGCUAAUUUGAAAGAUAGUCGGUUAGGAAAAGAUCAUAGGCCAUUUUUUAAAUUAGUCUAUUUUAGCCAAAAUAACCUUCCAUGUGUGAAUUAGUAUCCCUUGAUCCUGAUUUUUAAGCCAUGUAUACACCUUUCACCUUUUCAUUUGUGUUACAAUGAACCUAUGUUGGCUCUGGUCCUCCUUGGACAUUAUGCACCUUAACUCAGGAAAAUUGCCUAAGUUAAGGGUCGUCAUCAUAGGGGUACAUAAUGUAAAAUGGGUAGAAUAAGAGAAAAAGAUAGUAAGGCUGGGUGUGGUAGAAAAAAGAAAAGAAAAGACAAAUGAGAAAAAAUAAAAAGAAAGGAACAAGAGAAAAUAAUAAAGAAACCACACCCAACCUGAAUAUGCAAUAAAAGAAUAAAAAGGGAGAAAUAAGGGUGGAAUAAAAAGAUAUUGGUAGAUAAGUGGACCCCAAAGUUAGUGUAGUGCCAAGGAAGCUUAGUCACUUGAUAGAUCCAUAUGUACCAUACCAACCCUCAAGCCUACAUUACAAGUGGAAUAAAGUCCUAUAGUGAUCCUAACUAAUGUAAAAAAAAUAAAGGCAAGCCUAUGAUAUUUGAUGCGAAUUAGUGGGACUUCUCUUGUGAGAGUGAGUGUCUCUUGACUGUCCUUGAAUUAACAUGUAUGAUUUCAUAUGAGUGAGUGGGACUUCUUUGUUGUGAGGGCACAUGGGUUGUAUUGCUAGCUGCUUACUUGUUUGGGUAGUGUAACUUGUAUAUAUGCAUGAUUGUAUGGUGUUAAUGUAAUACCAGCUUGGUUAUAUUGUGUCACAGUGUUGUGUUUCAUGAAUACGCACAAUUGGUUUUAAAGUAUUGAACUUGUAGAGGGUAAUGAUCUUGAGCUUAAAUUUGAUAAUUGAUUUCCAUAGAUAUCUUAGGUUUCUCUUGGUUAAGCAUCAUCUUAUUGUUUUGUUAUGUUUUGUUGCCUGAGGACAUGCAACGUUCCAAGUUGAGGGUCUUUAUGUGCUAUGAAUUUAUAGCACUUACAAUGCAUACACUUUUAGAAUAUGCAUUUACUUAAGGUUAUCUUGUUGGAUUUUAUGUGAUUUUAGAGUGAUUUUGCAGGAAACUAGGUUUUGGAGGCUAAAUGGAAGAAAAGGAAGAAAAUUAGAGUUUUUGGCUACUUAUCAAGCCAUUUCUGGGAAAAGUGCCACUUACCAAGCAUAGGUGACCAAAGUAGGUGCCAGAAAUUGAAUUCUAGAGGCUCGGAAGCAAGAAAAAAAAGACUCAAUCAUUUACCUAGGGCACCUAUGGUUUGUAUGCGCUACAUACGGUUAUAGGUGACCUAAGUAAGUGUCAGAGGGUCAAAUCCAGAGAGUUCCAAGAUAGAGCAGGAGGUAUGGAACUUACCAGGGACCACAUAUGGUCCGUAUGUAGUACAUAUGAUUCGUAGGUGGCCUUUCUAAGUGGCCACCGACCUCAACUUUUCUGGAUCAUUUUGAAAUUGUUCCCUAUGGUUCCCAUGUAACCUAAAACUACUCCUAUGAUUCUUUUAGUCCUUAUUAAGUGCAUUUAGUCAAGUUUUCCUAUUUUAGUUAGGAUUUGAAUUCUAGGGUUUCUUGUAAUCUAUAAAUACCCAUUAUACUUGGUUUAGUAAGGGGAUGCUAGUUUAGGCCCUUAAAUUAUUCACAAACAUUUUAUUGUUCUUAGUUUGUUCUUGGUUUGUUAUUCAAUUUAAGACUUUGGGAUUUCUUCUUUCAUUAAUAUGAGAUUGAUUGUAUAAUUUUGUAUAUGGAUUCUAUGAUUGAUCUCAUAACUAUGAGCGGCUAAUUUCCUUAGCUAGGGUUGUGGGAACCCUAGUGGAUUAAGAAGUAGAGGAAGUGCCAAGUCGUUCUAAAUAAAGACUCUUGCAUGUAUAGUGUUUUCUUCGUUCUUAUAGAUGGAUGGAUGGAUGGAUGAAUGGAUAGAUGGAUGGAUGGAUGGAUGGACGGAUAGAUAGAUGGAUAGAUAGAGAGAGAGAGAGAGAAAGAAAGAGAGAGAGAUACAUAUACAUAUAGAUAUAUAGAUAUAUACAUUUGUACAAAUAUGUAUAGAUAUAGAUAUAUAGAUAUAUACAUUUAUACAUAUUUAUACAUAUAUAUCGAUAUACAUAUAUAUAUAUAUAUAUACAUGUACAUAUAUAUACAUAUAUACAUGUAUACAUGUAUACAUAUAUACAUAUAUACAUAUACAUAAACAUAUACAUAUACAUAUACAUAUAUGUGUAUUAAUUUAAAUAGAAAUUGUAUAUUUAUUAUGUCUACAUAUUAAUUAAUUAUACACAAUCAAAUAUUCAAAAUACAAAUAAUCUUAAUCAUCUAGCAUUUAUAUUUAGCAACAUCUUAAUCAUUUAGAUGUGCAUUCAGAUUCAGACAUCUUUGAACAUGUUUGACUAAGCUUAUUUUUUUCCUAAAUUACUUUUUUCUAGAAGUGUUCAAACUUUUGAGAGAAAUAAGUGCUUUUAGGGAUAAACAAAAGCUAUUUGCAGAAACUGAUAAAGUAGUUUCUUUCUAAAAGCAUUUAUUUGAAAAACACUUUUAAGAAAGAUACACUUAAAAGCACUUUCAUAAAGUCUGGUCAAACAUCAAUUAUUACUUUUGAAAAUAAAUUAUUGGCGAAACACAAACUAUUUCUCUCUAAAAAGCACUUUUAGAAUAAACACACUUUUAAAAAAUAAAAAAGACUCAAAUAUGCCAUCAAAUUAUUAGAAAUGACUCAUCUAUGCUAUUCAUUAGACGUUUGCCUUAUUGUCAAGAUCCAAUUUUUCAAGUCAUGAUGGCACCUUAUAAUGCCCAAAAUACCCCUCCUUAGAAGGAUAAGGUGAUUGAUGUCAAAAUAUAGUAGCCCAACUAGGUUGGGGUUGAUCCCACAGGGAAUACGUCAAAAAUUCUUUUCGAACUUGUUGAAAUCACCAGGCAGUGUUGAAAAGUAAAAGAGGGGAUUUGUUGAAAUAGUAAAAAGGACAAGAAUUGGUUAUUUUUGGUUGUAAACAAUCUAAGACGAACACUAGGCUUGUGUUCCCUUGGCUUCUCAAUUUCAUAUAUUUAUCAUACAUUGUCAAACUAUUUUGAUACCUUACAUGCAGAAUCUGAUAAGUUAUGUACCAUCAACUAUCUUGUCGACUUAUUGACAAAUUUCACCUUUUAUCUUUUGAGUCUCAGGGUGUCGCCUUAAUAACCCUUAUCUUGGAUCACAGUUUAACUAUUACCUUUUUGGUCUCAAGUUAUUAGAUAAAAAUUAACCGUCUUUAGAAGAUAGUACAGGUAAGAUUAUUUUGGCAGUUAACCCCAAAUCACUGUUGUGGUCUUCUAUUCCUAGUCACUACUUCUCUUGUGGAGUAACUAAUGAUAUAAUAGGAGGAAUCCUAAUGUGUACACCCAUUAAGGAAUCAAUAAGAAUGAAGAAAACCCAAUACAUGCAAGAAUCUUUGUUUAGAACGACUUGGCACUUCCUCUACUUUGUUAAUUCGUCAGGGUUCCCACAACCCUAGCUAAGAAAAUUAGCCACUCAUAGUUAUGAGAUUAAUCAUGGAAUUCACAGAUAAAAUUACAAAAUCAAUCUCAAAAUAAGGAAAGAAGAAAUCCCAAAGUCUUAAAUUGAAUAACAAAACUAAUAACAAACUAAGAAUAAUAAGAUCCCAAGAUUACAAGUCAAUCUUGAAAUCAAAAGAUGUUUGUAACCUUAGCCCCAAAGGUCCUAUGCUAUAAAACCCUCUCAAUAUGAGAAUUAAUAAACUAAACAAAUCUUAAAAGGUAUUUAUAUAUUAUAAGAACCCCAAGAACUCAAAUCCUAGAUAAAAUAGGAAAACUUGAUUAACCGUACAUAAUAAGGACUAAAAAUAUCAUAGGAGUGUAUUUAGGUUACAUGGAAACCCUAGGAAUCAAAGCCCAAACGAAAAAAGGAAAAACAAGAUUGGUGUACACUUACUUAGGCCACAUAUGGACCGUAUGUACUACAUACGGUCCGCAUGUAGACCUAGGUAAGUGCCAGAAAUUUGUCUUCAGCUUCUGCACUUUUUAGAUCUUAGAUUCUGUCACAUGCCUUUGUAAUAUACAGACUGUAUAUGGACAUAGGUAAGUGUAAUUUCCCCUCCAUCAGAUAGAUAAUUGAAUUAACUUUCCAAUGAGACCAAUUUUGCCUUAAUCUGAUAUUAGGGUGAAAAGUGAUGGCCAAAUUACUGAAGCACUGUCAGAACUGCCAUUAACCACGACCCUUUCUUUUUUUCUGUUUUUAAGCCUCUGGACUUCAAGUUAUGGUAUAUACUUUGGUCACAUCCGCCUAGAAAGUGCCACAUAUGUGCAAAACCGCCCAAGUAAGUAUCCAAAAUCUUCAUCUUUCAUCUUUUUCUUGAGUUUAGCAUCCAAAACUUAAUUUCCUGCAAAUCAUACCCAAAACACAUCAUAUCUAACAAAACAACCUAAGAAACUUACAUAUCUUCAUAAUUUUAAGCGUCGAAAAUGCUUUAAAUUUAUAAAAUAUCAAUACCCUCAACUUAGAAUAUUUGCAUGUCCUCAGGCACCAAAACAAAACAUGACGCUUAUCUGCGAGAAUUUAAGGCAUCCAAGGCAGCCAAUCAACAUUUUAGAUUCAAAUUCAUUAUCCCCUCUUAUAUCACAGUUAAAACCAUGUGUAUACAUGAAGCACACUACUAUUACAUAAAGAAAUCAAGUUAUGGCAAUUACAUUAGCAACAAACAAUGAUGCAUAUAUACAAGUUACAUUUACCCAAACAAGUAUGUGAUUAGAAAUACACCCCAUAUGCCCUCACAUCAAAAAAGUCCCUCUCACUCAUAUAGGAAAUCGACCAUAUCAAUACAGGGACAGUCAAGAGAGACUCACACUCACAAGAGAAAUUCAACUAAUGACAUCAAUUACCAUAGGCUUGCUCUUAUUUUCUUUACCUAAGUUUUCAGACAGUCAAAUUAAGAUCACUAUAGGACUUUAUUCGGCUUUUAAUGUAGGCUUAGCGGGCUGGUAUAGUAUAUAUGGAUAUAUCAAGUGACUAAGCCUCCUUGGAGCUACACUAACUUUGGGUCCACACUUUAACCAAUUUCCUUUUUAUUUCCACCCUUAUUUCUCCCUUUUUACUUUAAUGCACAUUCAGGUUAGUUGUGGUUUCUCUUAUUCAUUUUUUUUCUUUCUUCCAUACCCGCCCUACUUUCUUUUUCUUUUAUUUUUCUUUCUUCACACCCACUUUACAUUAUUCACCCCUAUGAUAGCCACCCUCAAUUUAGGCAAUUUACCUGAGUUGAGGUGCACAAUGUCCAAGGAUGACUAGGGCCAAAACGGGGUCAUUGUAAUACAAAUGGGAAGGUGAAAGGUCAAAACAAAUAAAUAGGCUAUAAGAAUCAAAACAUGGAUCAAGGGAUACAACUUCACACUAGAAAGGUCAUUUAGGCUACAAAUGGACUUAUAUCAGAAAUGGCAUACGAUCCUUUCGUAACCAUCCUAAAACCUAAGCAAGACUAAUCGGGCAAGUUUUAGAUUUAAAACACAAAGGAAACUAGGUAGCAUCUCACACACAUAUGGCACAAAGUCACAUCACAAGAUAAUACCUAUCCGAUUCAUGCACAAGUUAGUUAAGAUUAUCAUAUCCCUAAUCUAAUGCCAUAAAAAGAUUCACAAUAGUCAUGUAAUAUACAAUCACACAAUUCAAAAACAAGCAAUUAAAAGGGGUAUCAUUUUCUCAAGAAAUGAUCAAAAAAAAAAUAUGUCAACUACCCUAGAUACUCAUUUUUCUCCUACUUAAACACAAAAUAUCACAAAACAAAACACAAUAUGCCUAAACAUGCAGGCUUUACUAAGAACAGUACUGUGGGAAAAGAGGCACGGCAACAAAAACCAUAAGAGGACAUCAAGACCCACAAGCUGCCCUACCCUCAACUUAAAAUCAAGCAUUGUCCUUAAUGCAUUAUACUGCUAAAAAACAAGAGAGUUAGAAACAUACUUGUGGCACCAUAGGUGCAAAUAUCCGACAUCAAUCACAUCAAUGUGAAUACAACAACAAAAUAACUUAGGUUGUCUAUCAAGAAACACCUGAAUUUAUGUCACAGCAUGACGGGGUUUGGUUGGUACUCAGACUUCCCCAACAAGCCCAUGGGUACCUUGAUUACUCAGAAUUUGUCAAGGUAACCCAAGAGUUGGCCUCCAAUUUUCUCUUUCCACUUUGAACUCAUGAAUUUCACCCCUAAUUGUUUUACUGAUUUCCCAUUAUGCUCAAAGGGUGGUGGUAUACAAAUAAAGAAAACACGUAAUAGAUAAGGUAUGUUGUACUUCUUAACCCUUAUGAAAGGAAUGUAAUUCUUUGAUUCUAGCUCAGCAAAUUUAAGAAUGUAGACAUAUAUUUCCUCUUUCUUGCACCCUUCUUCAAGUUUAAAUGGCUUGAUCAAGAUUUGACUUUCCAGACACAAUAUGGAAAAACACUUCAAACGAGGUCCAAUAUGCCCUAACUCAAGAAUUGAAGUCUUAUUUACAUCCCAGAUAACUCUAGUAUGCUCUCUUUAAGAGUGGCAUUAUCCAUAAGAGUAUGAGUAAUUUUAGACUCCUCCAAUUUUAGCUUCUUAAGUUGGCUUUUCAGAAACUUUUUAGUCUUACACCACCCAUAACUAAGUUGUUGGGCAUUACACACAGUAGCUUUUGCUUUUAACUCUACUUGUAGGUGGUGAAUAUCUAACACAAACCUUUCAACCUUUUGAAUAAGCUCAUAAUUAUUGUGUACAAGGUGUCAGUGUUUCCAAUAGGCUAUCCCUGUGUUCACACACUAUAUUUACCACACUCCUACAAUAAUACACCAUAUCAAAAAGAAAAGGAUCAAUAAGUCUUCAUCAGUCAAAAAUUCCUCUAGCCAAGUUUUCAUCUCAAGAAGAGGUAUAGGAAAACAAACAAAACAAAAAUAUAAAAUCCGAUAACUCCAAUAACUUCAAUCAAGAACUCUGAAAUCGUAUUCCCUGGCAAUAGCGCCAGAAUUUCAUAAUGGACAAACUACCCCUCCUUAGAAGGAUAAAGUGGUCACUGUCAAAAUAUAGUAACCCAACUAAGUUGUGGUCAAUCCUACAGGGAAUACGUCAAAAAUCCUUUUCAAACUUGUUGAAAUCACUAGCAAAUACAGAAAAGUAAAUAGGGGGACUUACAAAAAUAGUAAAAGGGAUGAGAAUUGGUUGCAUUUGGUUAUAAAUAAUCAAAGACAAACACUAGGAAUGUGUUACCCAAUGCUUCUCAAUUCCGCAAUUUAUCAUACAUUGUCAAACUAUUUUGAUAUUUUGUAGACUCAUCGAUGAAUUUUACUUUUUACCUUUUGAGUCUCGGGUGAGCCUUACUAACACUUAUCCUAGAUUCCAAUUUAACUAUUAGCUUUUGGUUCUUAAGUUAUUAGAUGAAAAUAAAUUGUAUUAAGAAAAUAAUACAAGUAAGCUUAUUUUGGCAGUUAACCCCAAAUCACUGUUGUCGUCUUCUUUUCCUAGUCACUACUCCUUUUGUGAAGUAAGUAGUGAUAUCCUAGGUGGGGUAUUAAUGUGUGCGUCCACUAAGACAUCAAUAAGAACGAAGAAAACUCAAUACAUGCAAGAAUCUUUAUCUAUAAAAACAUAGCACUUCAUUAAUCCACUAGGUUCCUACAACCCUAGCUAAAGGAAUCUGCUGCACAUAGUUAUGAGAUCAAUCAUGGAAUCCACAGACAAAAUUACAAAAUCAGUCUUACAAUAAAGAAAAAAGAAAUCCUAAAGUCUUAAAUUUAAUAAUAAAACCAAGAACAAACUAAGAACAAUAAGAUCCUAAGACCACAAGUCAAUCUUGGAAUCAAAAGAUGUUUGUAACCUUAGCCCUAGGGCCUAUGAUAGAACACCCUCCCAAUAUGUGAAUAAAUAUACUAACAAAUACUAAAGGGUAUUUAUAGAUUAUAAAAAAUCCUAGAACUCAAAUCCUAAAUAAAAAUAGAAAAACAUAACUAACUGUACAUAAUAAGGACUAAAAACAUCAUAGGAGUGUAUUUAGGUUUCAUGGAAACCCUAGGAGUCAAAGCCUGAACAAAAAAAGGAAAAACGAGGUCGGUGGCCACAUACGGCCUAUAUGUACUACAUACGGUCCGUAUGUGAACCUAGGUAAAUGCCAAAAAUUUUUCUUCAGUUUCUGCACUCUCUAGAUCUUAGAUUUUGGGACAUAGCUUGGUCACAUACCGUCCAUAUGUGGACAUAGGUAAGUGCAAAGUCCUCACCAACAUAUAGAUAAUUAAAUUAUCUUUCCAACGAUAUCAAUUUUCCCUUAAUCCGAAAUUGGGGUGAAAAGUUAUGGUCAAAUUACUGAAGCACUGUCAGAGUUGCCAUUGACCACGACCCUUUCUUUUUUUUUUUUGCUUUUGAACCUCUGGACCUCAAGUUCUGGUACAUACUUUGGUCACAUCCGCCCGGUAUGUUCCAUAUACACCCAAAAAUGCCCAAAUAAGUAUCCAAAAACUUCAUUUUUCAUCAUUUUCUUGAUUUUAGCAUCCGAAACAUAAUUUCCUGCAAAUCAUACCCAAAACAUAUCAUAUCUAACAAAACAACCUAAGAAACUUGCAUAUUUUCAUAGUUUAAGUGUCGAAAAUGCUAUAAAUUUAUAGAACAUCAGCGCCUAUUAUAACCCACCAGCAGACAAGCCAAACCCGUUAUCCGAAACAACUAGUAAUAAACAACUCAAAUAGAUGAAGGAAAGAAUGUGGAAUAUCUGAAAUACAAGAUCAAUUACACAAUAUAAUCCCAAGACCUGGUGGUAUUAGUACAAGAGCUUCUACUUAAUAAGAUUUCAAGUGAAAUACAAUUUAAUACACCGAUACAACUUAUCUCUGAGUAUAACAUAGAGACUAGUCUAGUAAAUAAGAGAGAGAUGAGUAAUACUCCGAACGUUAGGAGCUCACUCUAAGUCUCCGAACCAUGGCUGCUCUAAACGAUGCACACAUCAAUGGUGAUAACCCGUACUUAUGAUCUGAAGGCUGCAGAAUUAUAGUGUGAAUACCAAAUACGUGGUACUCAGUAGGCAACUGUCGACUGAGCUUCAAAGAUAAUGCAGAUAUAUGUAACAUAUAAACAGAAUGGAAAAAUACACCCAAAUGUAUAGGAACCAUAUAAAACAACCAAUGACAUAAUAAGGAUAAACUAUCAUAUUCAUGUCCAAGAGACUAACGUAUUAAAGCUAAGGAAGUAGUAAGAAUACACUAUCCUAUUCUAGCCAAACUUAGAAACAUCAAUACUGUACCAAAUAUCACUGGCCAAUAUGCAAGUAAGAGUGGAAAGAAGAUACAUAUAAGUAUACAAGGCUAAGGAAUGAGUAUAUGAUCAGAGUAAAUGAAGGAAAAGAGGUAUAUACGGUAAUACCAUAGCAAAAUAUAGCUAAGUAUGCACAUGCACUUAUAUAUAUAUAUACAUAUAUAUAUGUAUAUAUAUGUAUAUGUAUAUGUAAUGCCCAGGAAAUACACCCUAGACGUCACACGGUGCUCAAGACUACAAGUAGUCCCAAGUUAAUGCUUUAAGCCUUCUAACAACUUUGGAGCUUAUAAUAAAGAUAACUUGACAUAUGAAAUCUCGAAAUAACUAAAUUAAUGUCUUAACUCAAAAUCUUAAACUUAGAAAUCCUAAAAUCAGCACUUUGAAUCUAAAAUAAAAAAGUCAGACAAGCCUCUACCUCUAACUAGAGAGCCACUGGGAUAAGCCUCGGCUGACUCGAACUAACCAAAAACAAAAUGACUAAAAUACUUUAUCAAUAAUAAUGUCUGAUAAAAUGGAUCCUCAAACUAUGAGGACUCACCAAGCAUUGGGAUAUAGGUGGAGAUACCCGUAAUUAAUCACGCUGCUGGAACUGAGCACCAGAACCUACAUUAUGAAAUAAUGUAGCACAUAAACGUAUAUGUGGAUCAGUACUUCUAGAAUGUACUGAGCACGUGGGGGUGAAUGCAUAAGUAAAUCAAUAACUCAAUGUGCACUUAUAUUUUCAAAUAAUGCAUGUUAAGUGUAAAUGAAUCACCUUGGGCUUGAAUUAAGCAAAAGUUGUAAAAUUAUAAACAUGCGUAAUGAAGCAAAAUGAUAAACUUUGUGAGCCAUAACACUUGGUUCUAAAAGUUUUACUCUUAUUCUUUCUUAGGGAAGUUCUUCUAACUGACAUAAACUAUGUGAGAUAUCAUAGAGUCCAACGACUUGCCCACGUUAGGGAGAGUUGUCCUACCCUUGCCAUCGGAAUAGGACUUUAACUUAAGUGAUCACUAUCUGUAACUUAAUCCAUAUUGUGAAUAAGCUUAACCUACGUUGGCUCUCCGUUAUGGGUCAUGUGACCUUGGAUGCAUACCCAACUCGGUGCUAAAUACUACUCUCGUAUUACUAAAUGCUCAUACUUUAGGAAAUCCACCUUAAAAUAGCAUAAGGGUUUAUAAUGAUGACGUAGCCCGAACUGGGGCAUUGUCGUAAUGGGAAUCCCAAGUCCAACUAGGACCAGGGACCGCCCCCUUAACCCAACCCAACCACUGUAUACCACCUUGGAUGAGCUAAAUUUUGAACAUAUAACAAGAUUCCGUAAUGCUCUCAUGAAGACUCUGGGAUAGGGUCACAAUCAUAACCGACCCAAUCGAUUCUAACCAUACCAGCCAACCAUCCAUUCUAUACCAAACUAUUUAGAAAGUAUCAAACAUAAUAUGAUAAUCAAACCCAAAAUGUAAUAUAAUAGAACAACCAACUACAUUGUCCAAUGAUGUCAUCCCCAACACCAAUGUCAAUGCUAAGGAUGACUCCAAUAUCGAUCCUACCCAUACCAACCCCAGAAAUACCACAAGACCUUUAUCCAAAAGAACACAAAUAUUCUGUAGGGAUAUGCCCCCAACCAUGGCCAAAACCAAUAUCUGGAAAGAAAGUAAAAUAUCUAAGAAUGUCCAACAUGAACUGAUGCCUUCCAAAAGGAUGGAAGCUCACUAUUUCAGUCCAAUAAGUUAUCCCAAAAUCAAGUACUAUGAAGAAAGAGUUGAAUAAUCGUUUCCUACAUAGCGUGAGUAUAUAGCCGCUAGUAGACGGGUUAGUGGGUGAACACUAGCAUGAAACUCGGGAUAAGGAUAAAGUAAUGCCACUUAUCAAAACUAAGUGAAAAUCAUCCAAUGCAAAAAAGGGUCGGGUUUAAUAUGACAUUUAAAACCUUUACCUAGGUUGUGCAUCUUAGCCGUCCUACCACCCACAGGCCAUAUGGGUUCAGCUCCCCCUGCUGAAACGGUCCCAGUAGGUAUAGAUGCACGACCAGGAAAUAUCCCUAGGAUAACAAGAAUAUCCCUCAAAUAUAAAUGUGACACUCAUAUGUGGACAUCGAAGACCCCUCAUAUUAGCAAAUAUAAUUUUUUGAUUUUGAUCCCCCCGGGAUCACCACAUUCUGUGGCUUAGCUUACACUCUUCGCUAUUAAUGCCUAAUUAAAACCGUUAACAAAUAAUCCAAUUAUCCAUUUAUUAACCAAGGCUAUUCAAUAAACCAGUGGUAUCGUCAUGCCACCAUACUUGCAAGCAUUAUCCAUAGCCAAACUAUUUAGAUUAAGAGGAUAUUUAAGUGCCCUAUCGAACCUCUUGAGAGACUACCAUGUUCUCCACAAGCAUAACCAAUUAGCCUUAAGCCUUUGUAAACCACUUGAAAACAUUUAAGGUUUCAUGCAUAAGCCGAAAAUAAGCAAGAGUUCCAUUAAAUAAGCCAAUGCAAUGAACAUAUCUUUAUAAGCAUUUUAUCAAACACCUUGGGGGAUAAUAUAACCAAAAUUAAAUUCCAUUACCAUUAAACCAUUACUAUGUAAUUCAAAUUGUCCAAAACCACCGUUAAUGCAUAGAAAACAUAAUUAAAACCAUACGAAAUCAUAACUAAGCAUUUAAUAUCAAAACCCCCAAAUCAAUAGUUGAAAGUCAUAAUCAUGCAAGAGAAAAACCAUGAAAUCAACCAUGUAACCAUGACUUUAAUAUAAAUUACAAUUAGGGAAGAGAAUCAUACCUUAUGCCAAGAAUAUUGAUGGAAAGAAUUAACCAAGACAAGCCCCAAAGUAAUCGCUUAGUUGAAACCCUAGCUCUUUGUCCUAAAAGCUCUUGAGAGAAUUAUGAUAUGUUUAGGAAGAGUUUCCAAGUGUUUAAAAAUAAAAUAAUAGGGAAAAUAACCUCCUAACUGUAUUAGAAGUCGUGGGUAUAUAUUAGGGUAAGUAGGAAAAUGUCCAAAAUACCCCCACUUAAAUCUCAUAAAAAAACAAACACAAGGUCACAACUGACCCCCUUACGAGUCGUAACAUCCCUUACGGUUGAUACCCACCCGAUCAUGACCAGACCUCAACUAUGGAUCAAACACUAUCCAGUAUAUGACUCAUCCACCCAAGUCGUAACCUCAGCAUAUAAUCAUACCCAUAAUCCUUAUCCCUAGCAGAAUGCAACACCAGGAGAAUCAAACAUUGUCUACCUUAUAAGUUACCUGUACAACUCGUACCAAACCAUAUGACACUCACCCCUAAGUCGUAUCCAUUGCAAUAAUCAAAACCAUCCCUCUAAUUAACAUUGAUCAGCUUACGAUGGGAAUUCGCCAGUCAUACCCCAGCAUACGGCUCGUACCAUGAGUCGUAUUAGGUUCGAAGAACGGGAUUAUAGAAAAUUUUCUAAGGGUCCAAACUCGUGAUGCUUCAGUCUCCCCAAGUAGGAACAUUUGUCCCCGAAUGACGAAUAAAGUAGUGGUAACCACACACAGGGUCAUUUGCAUUAUCAAACAUCAAUCCCACCUCUUGAUGUCUCUACUCUUACCUUUACAAAACGAAAAACAAAGAUGCAAGAGAUGCAACUCUUCUUUUAACAUACUCAGAAAAUAAAGAUGUGUUCAAGAACACAUAUCUUUCGCAUGAAUAUCAAGAGCAGAAAACAAAAGUAGAUACUCGAACUUUACAUCCUCCCCCACUUCCUACAUGGACUUUUCCACCUUGUAGUUCUGCUAUAGAACCUUGACUAAAGCCAUAUCCAUGGUCCGUGACAGACGAACCUGCCUAUCCAAUAUCUCAAUCGGGACCUCUUAAUAAGACAAAGAAUCUGAGAUAUCCAACACCUUCAAAGGAACAAUUGAAGACGGAUCACGAACACCCUUCCUCAACAUAGAAACAUGGAAUACUAAUGAAUCAAACUCAAGCUAGAUGGCAACUCCAACUUAUAUGAAACAUUGCCCACUCUCCGCAAAAUCUCAUAAGGUCCAACGUAUCGAGGACUAAACUUUCCCUUUUUACCAAACCGCACUACUCCCUUCAUAGGAGACACAUUAAGAAAAACUUUAUCCCCAACUGCAAACUCCAAUUCUCCACGCUUAGCAUCCGCGUAGGACUUUUGACAACUCUGGAAGCCUUGAGACUAUCCCAAAUUACCUUUAGCAUUUCCAAAGCUUGACAAACCAAAUCCAAACCAAAUAAAUCAACCUCGUCGAGCUCAAACCAACCAAUAGAAGAUCUAUACCUUCUACCAUACAAUGCCUCAAAAAUAGCCAUACCAAUACUUUUAUGAUAGCUAUUGUUGUAAGAAAACUCUACCAAAGGUAGAUGCUCCACCCAACUGCCACCAUAAUCAAUCACAUAGUCUCGAAGCAUAUUUUCCAAUGUCUGAAUAGUUCUUUCUACCUGCCCAUCCGACUGUGGAUGGAAACUAGUAUGCAGACUCACCUUAGUCCCUAACCCUUUUUGGAAAGACUGCCAGAAGUAGGACGUAAACUGCAUACCGUGAUUAGAAAUAAUUAAAAUAGGCACCCCAUCCAGUUUCACAAUCUCUUAAAGUUAAAGCUUUGCAUAAUCCUCCCCCAAAAAUUUAGUCCGCACAGGCAAGAAUUGUUCAGACUUUGUCAUCCUAUCCACGAUGACCCAAAUUGAAUCAAAUUGGUUUUGAAACCAAGAAAGACUGGUAAUGAAAUCCAUAUUGAUCUUACCCCACUUCCAUUCAAGCAACUCAAUUUCCUGAUACAAAAAACCAGGCUUCAUAUGCUCAACCUUAACUUAUUGAUACACUAUGCAUUUGGACACAAAAUCAACCAUGUCCUGCUUUAUUCUACUCCACCAAUAGAUCUCCUUAAGAUCAUGGUACAUCUUAUUAGAACCAGGAUGGACAAUAUAGCGCGAAUUAUACGCCUCAUCCAAGAUCCUUUACCACAAACUGUUUACAUCAGGAACACACAACCUCUUUUGGUACCACAAAGUACCAUCGCUGGUAAUCUCAAAAUCUGUCACCUUUCUCCCACCAAUACUACCUUUGAUUUUCAUCAAGGUAGGAUCAAACACUUAUUUCUCUUUAAUCUUUGCACCAAGAGAUGAUCUAACCACUUCUUGAACCAUCACACUACCAUCCUUGGAAUCCAUGAGAUGAACCCUAAAAUUUGCCAAACGGUGAAUAUCCUUCUCCAAUUCUCACUUUCCUUCCUCUAUAUGAGCCAAACUACCCAUGGACAACCUACUAAGAGCAUCAGCAACCACGUUAGCAUUACCUGAGUGGUAGUAAAGACUCAUAUUAUAGUCCUUGAGAAACUCAAGCCAUCUCCUCUGCCUGAGAUUAAGCUCUUUCCAUAAGAACACAUACUGUAAACUCUUGUGAUCAGAAAAGAUAUCUAUGUGAAGACUAUACAAAUAAUGCCACCAUAUAUUCAAAGUAAACACAACGUCCAGUAGCUCCAAAUCAUAAGUAGGAUAGUUCCUCUCAUACACCUUUAACUGCCUGGAAGCAUAGUCUAUCACCUUCUCAUGUUGCAUCAACUCACAACCAAGACCAACCCGAGAUGCAUCACAAUAAACCACAAACCCAUCAUUGCCUUUUGAUAAGGUCAGAACUGGAGCCAAAGUCAACUUAUCCUUUAACUUCUCAAAACUCCCCUCACACGCAUCUGACCAAGAAACUUAACCUUCUUCUGAGUUAACUUAGUCAAAGGAGUAGCUAUCAAUAAAAAACUCUCCAAAAAUUGCCUAUAGUACUCUACUUAACCUAAGAAGCUCUGAAUAUCAGAUGGAGUUGUAGGUCUAGGCAACUUCUUCACCACAGCCACCUUCUGUGGAUCCACCAUGAUCCCUUCACUAAAAAUGACAUGACCCAAGAAAGACACUACAUUCAACCAAAACUUGCACUUAGAGAACUUAGUAAACAACUAUUAUUCCUUUAAGGUUUGCAACACCACACGAAGGUGAUUAGCAUAACCCACCUUACUCUCUGAAUAUACCAAAAUAUCAUCAAUAAACACAAGGACUAAGAGGUAUGAAUACUAUUGAAAUACCCUAUUCAUCAAAUCCAUAAAGGCUACCGAGGCAUUUGUCAAUCCAAAUGACAUCACCAAAAACUCAUAAUGCCCAUACUGAGUGUGAAAAGUUAUCUUAAGGAUAUCCACCUCCUUAAUCUUUAACGGAUGGUACCCAAACCAAAGAUCUGUCUUAGAAAAGAACCUGGCACUUUGGAACUGGUAAAACAGAUCAUCUAUCCAGGGAAGAGGAUAUUUGUUCUUGACUGUUACCUUAUUCAACUGCCUGUAGUCGAUGCACAUAUGAAGAGAACUAUUUACCUUAUUCAACUGCCUGUAGUCGAUGCACAUAUGAAGAGAACCAUCCUUUUUGUGCACGAACAACUCUGGUGCACCCCAUAGAAAAAUGCUAGGACGAAUAAACCCUUUGUCUAAAAGAUCCUUAAUUUGCUCCUUGAGUUCCCUUAACUCAGUCGGGCUAUUAUAUACGGAGGAAUAGAAACUGAAAGAGUGUCCAGAAGCAAAUUUACCAAACUCUAUUUCCCUAUCCAGAGGAACACCUGGAAGAUCAUCCAGAAAGACCUCUGUAACUCCUUAACUAUCAAAACUGACUGCAACGAAGGACCUUCCGAGUUAGAAUCUUAACCCAGACCAAGUGAUAAAGACAACCCUUAGAGAUUAACCUCUGAGCUUUAAGAUUAGAAAUAAAAUUCCUUUUUGGUGCUAAGGAACAACCUUCCAAAUCUAUUUUUGGCUCAUCAGAGAACCUAAAAAUGACCCUACGGGUUCGACAAUCCAAAUUUGCAUAAAAAGAAUGCAACCAAUCUAUGCCUAAGAUUACAUCAAAAUCUACCAUACCCAACUCAAAUAAAUCUGCUGAAGUCUAUCUACCACUCACAGAUACCACACAUCCCCGAUAGACUCACUCGACAAUGAUCGGAUCUCCUAUUGGGAUAGAAACAAAAAAUGGAUCCAACAUAAUCUCCGGAUCAAAACCAAAAAACAUAGCUAUAUAAGGAGUCACAUAAGAAAGGGUAGAACCCGGAUCAAGCAAACAAUAUACGUCAUAAGAUAAAAGUUAUAACGUACCAUUAAUGACAUCAGGCGAUGCCUCAGAUUUUUGAUCAAACGCCAAAGUAUACAACCUAUUCCGACCAUCAUUAAAACCAGGAUCAGUAAUAGAAGCAGAUGCCACACCACCGAGAGUAAGAACAAAAGAUGAAGCCAUCAGAAUCUUAUUCACCCCCAUAGCAACUUUGUUAGAUAAAUAAUCCCUGAGAUGAUGGCUUACAUGGCCACACUUGAGGCAUUUAUCCCUUCCCUCCUCAUAGAAUUAUCGAUGAGGACGGUCACAAAACCGAUAAGGAGGACAUAAAAAAAUAAACUAACCUCUAUUUUUCUGAGACUGGGCUCCUUGUGCUCGAGACUUGUCGCCACCAUAAUAAAUCAUCUCGCUCGACUGUUGGGGGUAAAGAGCACUGGCAAUAGAGAAGGAACCAGACAUAGUACGUCUUUAAGAUAAUCAGACCAAUAUACGACUUAGGUACCUAGACCAAUCACCACAUCAUACGACUUAUGGCAUGAGUUGUAAGAUGAUCAGAGAGUUUAAAAUUGAGGAAAUUUACAAAGGUAAAGGUUCGGAGCAUUUCAAUCUAUGCCACUAGGAUCAUUUAUCCUCAAAGGAGGGGUUUAAGGCAACACAAGAAUGAAUUAACAAAUUACUACCCCUCAAACUUCCCUUUAAUAAUCUCAGAAAACAAAGAUGUUAAGAACAGCACAUACCUUAAGCACGAAUAUCAAGAACAGGGAACAAAUGCGGAUCCUUGGACUUCAUGUCCUCUACCACUUCCCAAGAAGCUUUCUCAACCUUAUGGUUCCUCCAAAGACCUUUAUCGAAGCAACAUCCUUCAUCCACAAACGACGAACUUGUCAAUUCAUGAUCUUAACUGGGACUACCCCAUAAGACAUGGAGUUUGAAAUACCUAACCCAUCCAAAGGAAUAAUCGAUAAAGGAUCACCCACACAUUUCCUCAACAUGGAAACAUAAAACACCGGAUGAAUGGAGCUCAAGCUAGAAGGCAACUCCAACUCAUAGGAAAUAUUACCAACCCUCUUCAAAACCAAGUAUGGACCGACAUAGGGCAUACUAAUAUUUACCUCCUUAACAAACCGCAUCACUCCCUUCUAUGUUAAGGCCUAACUCAGAGUUAAAAGUGUUAGUGAAUGUCAUGGGACCCAAUACUUUACACCACUCAGAUAAUACUGCCCCGCCUAUUACUAUAAUCAUGAAACCUCAGGUCUUAAUUAAGGAGUUAUAGCCGCAUAAUACAAUGGUUGGGUAUUUAUCAACCCUAUCAUUCAAGCCUGCCUUUCUACCCCCGCUUUACAAAUCUUUUACCUAAGAGCUAGAAACUUCAAUCACUAUCAUAAAGGUUUUCACUGCACCUCCCCCUCCUUAGCUAUCUCAUAGAACAAAUUUUAUCUUAUUCUUUCAUUUACUCUUAUAACCUUACCUCUAGUAGUCACCCCUAAGUUUCACAACCAAGGAGAUUUACUCCCUCGUCCAAAACACUACUACACUUCCACAACCACUAUCACCCUAACAUAAGAAGGGUCAUUGAGGAACUUAAGUACUAGCAUCAAAGAUAGGGGGUUUACUUCUUAACUAUUCGUGCUACUCAAGGCGAGACCCACAAAAUGAGACGCAGUACAAUAGGCAUGAGGUACUCUAUAGCAACUACCUGUGAUAUAAAUGGAGGAUCGUUCCAACAUAGACAUAUAAUAGCACAAGUCUUUAGAACUAGGCACCAAGAAAAACAUGACCGUAUAUCUCAUGGAUAAUAUAACGUAAAGACGAGAUUCAUAUUCAGGAGACAAGUUAAAGAUUUCCACUUGAAACUACUAUUUCUUGGAACUAGGCAUAACGUAAUGACAUAGAGCUUGAAUACUUCGAAGCUUGAGUUUCUGAGAACCAUUAUUUCCAUUGGUUCAGGAGAUGAAGUAUGGACAUACAUGGCAUGUAAAAUGUGAACCUUAGGCAUAAGCACUAUUAGAAUACGUGCAACACUAGUAGAGUUCCCUCUUAACCAAAAUAGGAGAGAAUCACUAGAAUAAGAGUAAGUUUAUUCGGACUUUCCCCUGAAGUCCAUCGCUAGGAGAAAAUUUAAGAUUAUCCCUCAAUCUCCAUCUUACUACAUCCAUAAGCAUAAUACUACACUAUAAGAGGUAUCACCAUGGACACGUACUAGGGACCCAUAGAUCUCAUAUACUUAAAAUCUCAUCUAUCUAGAUGCUAUGUGGGGUUAUCAUAGUCUUAAAAAAUCCAUGCCCUAACCAUUCUUUGACUUAGUCCUCAAUCCAUCAGUUAAACCUAGACCUCCAGCCUAUAUAUUAUAAGUUAUCGACUCCUAUAUCCCCUAGGUCAUUAACCUCACCUCUUUCGCACACCUAUCAAGCCUACUAAUCUACCCUCACAAAUCUCGCUUUGCUAUCCUCGAGCUAAUAUACUCCAAUCACCAAAAUUAACAUCUAAGGUUCAAACUUAGUGUCUAUCAACCAUCAUGCACUGCUAGCAGAGUACCCCAUAGGGCGUACAAACCCUUAUCAAAACGAUACUUUGACUAUUCUUUAUACUCCUUUAACUCAACUGAAAUUAGUCUAUAAAGAGGGAAUAAAAAUAGGAUGAGUGUUCAGAAUAAGAUAAAUCCUAAACUCAAUCUCCCUAUCAGGACACCAGGAAGGUCAUCAAGGAAGACCUCCCUAAAUUUAUUCACCACUAGGAUGGAAUGCAAAAAAGGACCCUCCAAGUUAGAAUUUUUAACCCGAACUAGGUGGUAGAGACUCCUUUUGGAGAUUAAUCUCUGGGAUCUAAAAUAUAAUAUAAACCUUUCCUUAGGAGCUAGGGAACCACCCUCUCACUCAAUAAACUGGCUCGUUAGGGAAUUUAAAGAUAACCUUACGGCUCCAACAAUCUAGAGAUGCAUAGCAUGAGUACGACCAAUUCACCCCCAAUAUAACAUCUAAAUCAACUAUGUAUAAUUUAAACAGAUCCACUAAGGUCUACCGACCACCCACAAAUACCACACAACCCCUAUAAACUCUUUUAACCACCACAGAGUCACCCAUGGGGGUUAAAAUAGAAAAAGGCUCUGAAAUGCACUCAAGACCAAAACCAAAAUAUAUAGCCACAAAUAGGGUCACAUAAGAGAGAGUGGAUCCCAGAUUAAGUAAAUAGUGCACAUCACUAGAAAAGAGUUUAAAUAUAACAGUCAUGAUAUCCGAUGAUGCCUUAGAGUCCUGGCGAGAAAUAAGAGCAUAAUUUUGGCCAUGGCCAGUGCCAGUACCAUGAGCAGAAGCAGUACCUUUUGGUAUAGGAAAUAAGAAAGAGGCAACGGGAACCUUGUUAGCCCUAAAUGCAACUCUAGAAGGAUAUCACGUUGUAUAUGACCAAUCUGACCAUAAAUAAAUCAUCAGUGUCUCUUUUUCUCAGACUAGCCAAAGUACAGCCGACCACAAAAUCUAUAAAGGAGGUAGAACGGAGUCGACUAAGCCUCACCAAUUUGUAAUUAGGUACCCCAUGCCCUACAUCCCCUAUUGUGUUAAAAGCGAUGAUCACCUAACCACUUUGGGUAAGGAGCACUAGUCGAACAAGAACCAGAACUUCCCCACUUCUCCUUAGGCUACUUCCCCCCUUUCUACUACUAAAACCUUAAGAAUUAACUUAAUACCAGUAAAAGUUGGAGUACCCAACUCUAUGGACUGGUCAAACCUUGUGGCCUCAGAAAAUUGAGCACUACACUCAGACUGAGAAGCUACCUAAUGAGCCAACAUAUGACUAGAUUAGGGGUGUUAAAUAGGUGGGUUUGGUUGAUAUUGAAGAUAUUAAAUGGUUUGAAUUAAAUAUCGGGUUGGGUCAUAACCCGCCCAAAUUCACUUUGGGUUAAAAUGGGUAAAAAUCAGGUUAGCUCUUGACCUGCCCAAUUUAACCCACUUAAUCUAAAAAGUAUUAACAUAUUAAUAUGUACCUCUUGUAACAAAAAAAUUUGAAUGAGUUUGAAAAGUUGGGUGAGUGGGUAGGGAGUGAGGAUAGGGUAAGAAUAUUUUUUAAAGUUUAAUUUUUUAAAAAAUAAAAAUUCAUUUUUAUGGAGGGCUUGUAGGGUAAGCGGUUGGGUUAGGAGGGGUAGGUUUUAGGAUGGGGUUGAGGCAAAAAAAAUUAAAAAUUAUUUUUAAAAAAAGAAGAAUAUUUUUUUCUUGAAUGAAAAAAAUUUGGAAGCGAACGAGGUGUAGGGGUAAAAAAAUAUACAUUUUGGGGUCGGAGGGGAGAUAUGUCGUAUAGGGGAGGAGGGUGUGGGGAUGUAGGGAGUAGGGAGAGAUGGGGGUUGGGUAGAUUAAUUUUUUUGUUCAAAAAAAUUAUUUAUUUACUUUUGAAAAUUAAAAGAUUUUUAAUUUUUUAGGUUGGGGGUUUGGGGUAGGAAAGGGGGAUGGGGGUGAGGUGGGCUGCGGGGUGAGAUGAGGUGGGGUAAUUUAAAGAGUGGGGCGACACAUUGUCAUUUUUUUUAUCUACUUUCAUUAAGAAAAUAAUUUUUCUAUUAAACGGGUGAAGUAGAGAUUGAUUGGGUUCAUUUGAACCAACUUUGAAAAUGGGUUGUGACUUAAUGGGUUGAAAUUUACCCAAUAGCAAAUUAUCUUGAACCCAACCCAUUAAGUUUUGGGCGGGUAGGGCGGGUCAACUCAAUUUGGGUUCAUUUUGACACCCAUAGAAUAGGCUGAUGAAGCUUAGUAUUUAUAACAUCAGUUUGAGGAGCUCAUAGAGGACUAGAAGGAAUAGGGGAACUUCAGAAGAGUAAUCAUAAAGCGGACCCCUAGACCAGGUUUGGACCCCAUAAGUAGGAUGUGUCUCAUCAAUAGUGUCCCCAAGUGGAAUAGAGAAGUUUCCAUAAGGUUCAGAUUGUUUGGGAGGCAUGAUCUGAAAGGCGAACAGACAGGAAUUAAAGAAAUCCAAGACCUUAGACUCCAUAUCUUGAAGUAAGUCAACAAGUAAGAGAAAUAUUUCUAAAUGCCUCGUAGCCUCUCCCUUAUAAGUAUUGCAUGCUACAAACCCAUAAAAAGACUCUACUUGACAUGGCUUGGUGGACACCUCAUGACACCAAAACCUAGGCUCCGAUACUAAUCUGACAUGACCUAAACCAGGGCCUAGACGUGUCGGGCAUAUCACUUACAACAAGGACCAGAGACCAUCCCCUAUACCUAAUCCAACCAACUAAUAUACUACUCGUGUCGAAUAAAUUUCGAAUAUAUAAACAAGAUAGAGUAUUUAGAAUUCAAUGACUUUAGGAUAUGCCUAAAAUAGAUACCAACCCAACCAAGUCAUAUUGUCUAAACCAAACCAAAAAAAACAUAAUAUACCCAAGUCCACAGUUGUCCAUACAAAGCCUCUAAAUAAUUUCAAAGAAUAUUUACUCGGGAUAUGCCCCCGACCAUAGCCAAAAACCAAUGUCAAGGGAAUAGUAAAGACAUAAGAUAAACCAUAACAUGAAAUUGUCAUUUCGAAGAAUGAAAGCUCACUACUUUAGUCUGUCUCGAGUUGUUCCCGAAUUACCAAGUCACUAAACAGGAGGUGUAAAUGUAUGAUCGGUUCCUGCAUCGCGUGAGGAUACAUCACCCAAAGAUGGUUAGCAUAGUGAAUGCUACCAUGUACUUAGGGAUAAUGAUAAAAUAAUGACAUUAUUCAAAACCAAGUCAAAUAACCAUAGAAAUCACAUAUAUACAUAUAUAUCAUGACGGGAAAGAAAACCGGGUUUAGCAUGCAUUUAAAACCUUAACCUGGGUUAUGUAGCUUUGCCGUCCUAAAACCAUCCACGAGCUACAUGGGUUCAGUUGCUCCAGUUGAAAGGGCCCCAGUGCAUGUUACCCAUAUAACCAGAGAAAAUAAUCUGAGAUAACUAUUACAUCUCCCAAAAUAUAAAGUCUGACAUCAUGCACACAGUCACCAUAAUAAAAUCUCACAUCGGCAAACAUGAGAUCCCAGUAUUGGUCCCACUGGGACCUCCACCUUCUAUGAAUUUGCUACGCACACCCCUUUAAGACCAUAUUAAAAUAAUUUACACAUUCCAAUCAUUUACCAAGGAGUCUUUUAUCAGGCAUUAAUCAUUGGUAUCCUUAUACAAAAAAUUAGAGCAAGCAAGGCUAUGCUUUUAUGCCAUACCAAAGCAAUUAAACCAAUUUGACUCCAAAGUUACCAAUUAAACUAAUACCAUUACCACCAACGACUUUCCAAACCAUUUAAAACCAACUAAACCAAUUUAAGUUCCAUUACCUUUUAUGCAAUGCAAAGAUUUUAAGAAUAGUCGAACUAUGUGCAAAAUUAUUCGCAUUGGCAUAUUAACAAAUAGGUUGAGGGCACAUAUAUUUCAAAACCAUAACCUAGUAAUUUGGGGGAAUCCAAAGUACCUCCAAAUCCAUUUACCAUUACCAUGCAUUCCACAAUGUCAAAAUGAUAUUAAAAACAUGAAAGAAACAUCAUUAAACCAUUAGAAAUAUUAUUCAACCAUGAACAUCCAAAAACCCCAACCAUUAUUUCAAACCAUAACAAUAUCAUGAAAAUCAUACAUCAAACACAUGGUCUUUGUAAAAUAACAAUGAAGGAGGAGUCACAUACCUGAGUUACGAAAAUUUAUGGAAAGAUUUUAAUCUGUACGCCUCUAAAUGACCACCUUGAAAAAACCCUAGCCUAAUCUUAUUGAGAGGUUUUUAGAGAGAGAUUAAAGAGUGUUAUAAGACGUAAGGUCUUAAGGGCUUGGGGUGGAAAAUGUCCAAAGUACCCCCAGCUUAAAGUGCAGCAAACUCAUAUAAGGUUAUGAGUUGCCCCCCACCUUGUCACCAUAACCUACGACUAUUACCAUCAAGUCAUCACCAAGACAGAAGGUUGGGCACCACACUAUCUCCAACUGAUGACUCUCUUGCUCCACUCCUUACUAGACCAUAUAACUAGUAAAGUCUAGUCAUAUCCAUGAUAGAACACCAAGAGUUAGAUGUUGGACAAUAUACGAUUGGACUAAACUCUCUCGUCACAUCAUCAUAUAACUUAUAUGGAGUCUCUCGCAACCAGGUCAGAACUUGGCCAACAACACAUUAACCAAUGUACAACUUAGGUCCCUAGACCCGUUAUCACACCAUAUGACUCAUAGCGUGAGUCAUAAGAUGAUCAGAGAGUUCAAAACUGAGGAAAUUUACAAGGGUAAAGGUUAGGGGUGUUUCACCCAUACCUAUAAUUCCAUUUUUCAUAAAAUCUGCUCAAUAGUCAAAAUAAGUCUAGAUGCCUUAGAAUCUGAACCAAGGGUCCCCUACCCUAAAUCGAUGUUCCGAAUUCAACGGUAAAGUUAGAUUUUAAUCUAAUGCUGUUUUUUAAACACCCUUGGUUUUGACCUUUAGAAAUUUCUUGAGCUUUGAGCUUACUAUCUUGUUAACGACUUAAAUAUACGAGUCAUCUGGUGUGGGUAUGAGUCAAGUGACCCAAAUUAUAAGGUGUCCAGUGGAUGGUGGUUGGGGUUCUGUUAUGAUAACAACUUGGUAUUAUAAGUCAUUAGGGGUGGUACGAGUCGUUAGGAUGAUCCUUAAUCAAAUCAGUAACUUAGUGGCUUGACUUUAUUCUGGGUACAAUUGGCUCACUAGGAGCCAUGAGGAUAGAAUACGAGUUGUGAGGUAAAGUCAUAGGUUGUCCAAUGUCUAAUCCCUUUGGGUUCUAUCUAUGAUAUGACUAGACCAUACAAGUCAUAUGGCAUGGUAACGAGUGGGAUCAUGGGUUGAUGUGGUGGACAAUGUAUGGUUGUUAAACUUACUAUCUCGGUGAUGACUCAAGAGUAUAAGUUGUAUGUUGUGUUCACUAGUCAAGGGGUUGACUAGUAACCACCUGCGAAUUUUUUUACAUCUUUAAGUUGAGGCAUUCUCGAUAUUUCCCACUUUAACUCCCUUUGAUACCAUGACUUAAAUCAUCUUUUAGGACUUUAUUUAUACAUUAUUCCCAAUCACACACUCUUGAAACCUCUUUCAAACUCUUUUCUCAAGCAAAAACCUAGGGUUUCAUCAAGAUAAUCAAUUAAGGCUUUCAAGGGUGGUUUCUCUCAGUACUUCUUGGUGUCUAAGGCAUAUUACUCCUCCUUCAUUGUUAUUUUACUAAAAGCUCAAGUUUUAAUGUAUGAUUUUCAUGGUAUUGGUAUGAUUUUGAAAUAAAGGUUAGGGUUUUUUAUGUUAAUGGUUGAAUAAAGCUUCUUAUGGUUUAAAUAUGGUUUUUCCUUAUUUUAGCAUAACUUGAAUAUUAUGGGAUGCAUGUUAAUAGUAAAUGUAUUUUAGGGUACUAUAGAUUCCCUAAAUUACUUGGUCAUGGUCUUGAAACUUAUGUGCCCUUAACCUGUUGGUGAAACUGCAUAUGAAUAUGAUUUUGUCAUAUAGUUUGACCAUUCUUGGAAUCUUUACAAUGCAUAAAUGGUAAUGUAACUUGAAUUGGUUUGCUUUGAUUUUAAAUGGUUUUGAGAAGGCCUUAGUGGCUAUGGUCAUAGAUUAAUUGGAAACAGUAGAGUCUAAUUUUGGUUUAAUGGUUCUAUAUGGCAUAAGGGAAUAGACUUGCAAACUUUAAUUCUGGUGUGAUAAUACCAACGGUUAAUGACUAAUUAAAGGGCUCCAUGGAAAAUGGUUAGGAAUGUAUAAAUGGUUUUAAUAUAGGCUUAAAGGGGGUUGUGUGGCAAAGUCAUGGAAGGUGAAGUUCCCGGGGAGGACUAAUACUGGAAACUCAUGUUUGCUGAUUUGAGGUUUGGUCUUGAUGACCUAUGUACAUGGUUCAUACUAUUGAUAUAUAUUUGUAUCGUGGAUUAACGUGGGGUCAGGUCAUUCACAUGUCUUCCUUGAUACCUCUAGUUCAACCGAGGCAUUUCAGCAUGGGAGCUAAAUCUAUAUAGCUAUGUGUGGAGGUUCCUAAUGGCAAAGCUGCACAACAUAGGUUAAGGUUUUAAAUUGCAUGCUAAACCUUUUUCCUUAUCCCAGCAUGAUAUAUAUUUAUAUAUGUGACUAUAUAUGGUUAUUUGAUUUGGUUUUGAAUGAUGGCAUUAUUUUACCUUUAUCUUUGAGUUAUAUGCUAGUGUUCACUCUGCUAACCAUCUUCGGUGCUGUAUCACCACAUGAUGUCAGAAUCGGCCAUACUAUUAUCCUUCCUACUCAGUGACUUGGAUUUAGGGAUAACUUUGAGUCAGACUGAAGUGGUGAGCUUUCAUAUUUCAAAAGACUCCAUUUCAUGUUAUGGACUUCUUUUCAUUAUUGUUAUUUCUUUGGUUUUAGUUUUGACUAUGGUUGGGGCAAGUCUCGAUCGAUUAUUCUUUGAUUUUGGUUAGAGGCUUUGUCAGACUACCAUGGACAUGGGUGAUGUCGGUAUUAGUGUUAGCAUUGGUAUUGGUAUUGGCAUUGGGAUUAGUAUUGGUUGGACACUUGGUUUUGACUGUUUGGUUUUAGUUAUAGGCUUCAGCUAAUGUCUUUAAAUUAUUAUUAUUUUAUCUUAUUGUAUAUUCUGAAUUCAUUCAACAUAGGAUGUAGGGUGGUUAACAGUGGGGUAUUAGGGGUAGUCCAUAGUCCUGGUUGGACUUGAGAUACCCGACACUAUAGGCCCUGGUUCGGGUCAUGUUAGAUUAGUAUCAGAGCUCUAGGUUCAUGGUCAAUUAGGAGUCCAUAAAUCUAUAUCGAGUAGAGUCUCUUUUAAGGGCGUGUAGCGCGCCACACUCAUAAGGAAGAAAGUACAAGGCAUUUAGGAAUAUUUCUCUUUUUUGUGUUAUAUUUUCAGGCAGUAGAGCCUAAGGUCCUGAAAUCUUCACUAAUUCCCUUUUGUUUGUUUCUUAGAUUAUGCCUCCCAGAUGAUCUAAAGCUCAUAAAAACUCCUCUGUCCCACCCGAGGAUAAUAUUGAUGGGACAUAUUUUUUUUAUGAGGUCCAAACUCGGUCUAGGGGUCCAGUCUCUGAUUGCCCUCCUAGAGCUCCACUGGUUCUCUCCAGUCCUUCUCGAGCUUCUCAUGUUGAUGUGAUGAAUGUUGAGUUUUACCAGUCUAUUCAUGUGUUUACUCAGUUGAUAGCUACUCAUCUUGAGCGUGGUACUUCUGUUACUCCAUCUUCUGAGUUUAUAAGGGUUAGCCAAUUUAUGAGUUUAAAUCCUCCAGCCUUUGCUGGAGUUGAGGUCGAGAAGGAUCCUCAAAGUUUCUUUGAUGAGAUAGACAAGAUCUUUCAUGCGAUGCAUGCCACUAAUGUAGGGGGCAAGGAGUUCGCUGCAUACCAAUUGAAAGAUGUGGCUUAUUAGUGGAACGAAAAAUGGAACCAGCCAAGGAGUGACGAUGCCGAGUUAGCUCUAUGGGGUGAUUUUUCUAAUACUUUCCUAGAUUGCUUCUUUUCUUAAGAGAUGAAAGAAGUGAAGGUGGAAGAUUUUGUUAAUUUGAAGCAAGGCAAUAUGUCAGUCAAAUAGGAUGCCUUGAAGUUUCACCAGUUAUCUUAGUAUGCUCCGGAGAUGGUUUCUAACGUGAGGGCUAAAAAGAGAAAGUUUGCUUCCGAGUUAUCCUGAGACUUGAUUUUGGAAAGUUAGGCUUCCAUAUUGAACAAGGACAUGGAUAUUUCCAGUUUGGUUAUGUACAUACAGUAGGAUGGGGAAGAGAAAAAGAAGCAGGCAGAGAUAGGGAAAAGGCAGAGCAAGAAGUUUAGAUUUUUUUAGUAGGGUAGUGGCUAGCAGCAGAGUGGCAGUUAUGGUAAAAAGUGACCCAAAAAGAAGUAGGGUAAUUUGGGAUCUUACAUGACGGCUAGUGCUCUCUACCUAAAGCCAUCAGGUGACAGCAUUUUUAUGGUGGCGAUAAUUAUAGGGCAUAGGGUGCCCAGUCUUAGGCUAGUGGGGCCCAAUCAGCUUCAUCUUAUCCUCCCUACAGAUUUUGAGGUAGAUUGUAUCAAGGUGACUGUGAUGAAGAAAAGGACAAGUAUUUCAAUUGGGAUCAACUAGGGUACAUAAUUAGAAAUUGUCCUGUUAGUAAGGUUGCUUCUGGGGAAAACAAGGGUGUUGUUGCCUCUUCUUCAGCUCCAACACCAAAGAGUGCACCAUCUGGCUCCAACACUGGUCGGAACCAACUCUAUGCUCUUACUACUCAUCAGGAGUUUGAGGUGCCACUGGUUUUGUUACCGAUAUAUUGAUACUUUUUUCCCUUGAUGUGUACUGUUUACUUGAUCUCAGGUUUACUCUCUCUUAUGUGACCCUAUUUGUGGUUGUGUAUUUUGGUUUUGGUCCUAAUUGUAUUUCGAACCCUUUUCCUAUUUCUACCUCGGUGGGUGACUCUGUGGUGGCUAAAAGAGUUUAUAGAGGUUGUGUGGUAUCGGUGGAUGGCCAGGAAAUCUUGGUAGAUCUGUUUGAAUUAGACAUGGUGGAUUUUGAUAUCAUAUUAGGGAUGGAUUGAUUGCACUCGUGCUAUACAUCUUUAGAAUGCCGGACCCGUAAGGUCAUUUUUAAAUUCCCUAAUAAGAUGGUUAUUGAAUGGGAAGGUAGUUCCCUAAAUCCUAAAGAGAGGUUCAUAUCAUAUCUUAGAGCUCAGAGAUUAACCUCCAAGGGGUGUCUCUAUCAUUUAGUUUGGGUUAAAGAUCCUAACUCGGAGGGUCCUUCUUUACAUUUCAUCCUAGAGAUGAAUGAAUUUCCUGAGGUCGGCCCUGAUGACCUUUAUAGUGUUCCUCUCGAUAGGGAGAUUGAUUUUAGGAUAGAUCUUAUUUUGAACACUCAUUCUAUUUCUAUUUCCCGUAUAGAAUGGCUCCAGCUGAGUCAAAGGAGAUUAAGAAGCAACUAAAGAAUCCUUUAGACAAGGGUUUUAUCUGUCCUAGUGUAUCUUCAUAGGGUGAACUAGUGUUAUUCAUGCAUAAGAAGGAUGGUUCCCUUCGGAUGUGUAUUAAUUACUGGCAAUUGAAUAAGGUAAUGGUAAAGAAUAAAUACCCCCUUCCAAGGAUAGAUGAUUUGUUUGAUCACUUCAAGGUGCUAAUUUUUUAUCUAAGAUUGAUCUUCGACUGGGGUAUCAUCAGUUAAAGAUUAGGGAAGUAAAUAUCCGUAAAACUAUCUUUCGAACCUAAUAUGGGCAUUUCGAGUUCUUAGUCAUGUAUUUUGGCUUGACUAAUGCCUCGACAGCAUUCAUAGACUUGAUGAAUAGAGUUUUUCGUUAUUUUUUAGAUUUGUUCGUCAUUGUAUUCAUAAACAAUAUUCUGGUGUACUCUAAGAGCGAGGUGGAUCAUGUUGAUCACCUUCGCAUUAUGUUAUAGACCCUGAAAGAUCAGCAGUUGUAUGCCAAAUUUUUAAAAUGUGAGUUCUGGUUGAACGUUGUCACUUUUUUGGGUCAUGUCAUUUCUAGUAAAGGGAUCAUAGUGGAUCCACAGAAAGUUGUAGUGGUUAAAAAAUAGCCUAGACGCAUGACUCUAAUCAUAUAUUUGGAGCUUCUUGGGUUUAGCCAGUUAUUAUAGAAGGUUUAUGAAAAAUUUCUCUUCUAUAGUUACCCCAAUGACUAAGUUGACUCAGAAGAAAGUGAAGGUCUUAUGGUAUGAUGCUUCUGAGGGUAUUUUUAAAAAGCUGAAGAAUAAACUGACUUCGGCUCCAGUCUUGACUUUGCCUGAAGGCACUGAUGGGUUUUUGGUCUAUUAUAAUGCAUCCCGUGUAGGGAUUGGUUACGUCCUGAUGCAGCAUGGAAAAGUGAUAACUUAUGCCUCCAAAUAAGGUGCAUGAGAAGAAUUAUCCAACUUAUGACUUGGAAUUGUUGGUUGUGGUAUUCGCAUUGAAAGCUGGCAUCACUAUUUGUAUGGAGUGCCUAUGGAUAUCUUUUCUGAUCAUAAGAGCCUCUAAUGUGUGUUUGCCCAGAAAUAGCUGAACCUCAGGCAAAGGAGAUGGAUUAAGCUGCUCAAAAAUUAUGACAUAAGUCUUCACUACCAUCCAGGUAAAGCUAACAUAGUUGUUGAUGCUCUUAGCAGGUUAUCUAUGGGGAGUCUAGCUCAUAUAGAUGAAGAGAAGCAGGAGUUGGCGAGAUAUAUUCACCAUUUGGCUAACCUUGGAGUUCGUCUCUUAGACUCUGAAGAUAGUGAUCUAUUUGUGUAGAAGGUGGUACAGCCAUCUUUUGGUAUGGAAAUAAAGGAGAAAUAAGUGUUGGAUCCUGUCUUGAUGAGGAUUAAGGAUAAUGUAGGUGGGCAGAAGGUGAUGGCCUUUGAGAUUAGUGGUGAUGGUACCUUGCGGUACUAAGGGAGGUUAUGUGUUCCUGAUAUAGAUGGAUUGCGAAAGGAUCUUUCUUGAUUGAGGCACAUAAGUCGCGCUACGCUGUUCAUCUCGAUUCGAUGAAAAUGUAUCAUGACCUUAAGCUGAUGUACUGGCGAAAUAAUAUGAUGCGGGAUGUAGCUAGUUUUUUAUCUAAGUGCAUGGUGUGACAACAAGUAAAACUUUAGCACUUGAGGCCCAAAGGAUUGUAUUAAGAAAUUGAGUUACCUGUGUGGAAGUGGGGGUGAUCAAUAUAGACUUCGUUACCGGUCUUCCUCGAUCUCUGAAUCAAUUUGAUUUGGGUUGGGUCAUCGUGGAUAGGAUGACAAAGUCUGCUCAUUUCUUACCAGUAAGGACUAAUUUUUCGACAGAGUAUUAUGCGAGGUUGUACCUCUAAAAGAGUAUGAAUUUGUAUGGGGUACCUAUUUCUAUCAUCUCGGAUUGUGGUAGGCAGUUUUCAUCGCACUUCUGGCAAUUAUUUUAGAAAGGUUUGGGAACUAAGGUGAUUCUUAAUAUUGCUUUCGACCAGCAGUCGGAUGGGCAAGCGAAAAGAACUAUUUAGACAUUGGAAGAUAUGCUUUGAGCUUGCGUGAUUGACUAUGGUGGUCGUUGGGUUGAGCAAUUAUCUCUUAUAGAGUUUAUGUACAAUAACAUCCACUACUCUAGCAUUGGGAUGGCUCUAUUUGAGACCUUGUGUGGUAGGACGUGUAAGUCUCCUAUUGAGUGGUUUGAGGUUGGUGAGGCGGAGAAGUUUGGUUCGAAUUUAGUUCAUCAAGCCAUGAAUUAAGUAAAGGUGAUUCGGGAUAGGCUUAAAGCCACCUAAAUUUUCCAAAAGUCCUAUACGGAUGUGAGGUGUAGGAAGUUAGAGUUUGAGGCUGGGGAUAGGGUAUUUUUGAAGGUGUCUCCAUGAAGGGAGUGAUGCAGUUUGGGAAAAAGGGAAAGCUUAGUUCCUAGUAUGUUGGUCCGUACUUGGUUUUGAGAAGGGUUGGUAAUGUUGCAUAUGAAUUGCAGUUGCCUUCUAGUUUGAGCUCCAUUCACCCGAUGUUCCAUGUCUUAAUGUUAAUAAAGUAGGUGGGUGAUUCAUCGCAAAUUAUGUUUAUCAAGGAUAUUGGUAUUUUGGAUUCCUUGUCUUAUGAGGAGGUCUCGGUUGAAAUCUUUGAUCGGCAAAUUUAUCGGUUGUGGAUGAAGGACAUAGCUUCGGUAAAGGUUUUAUUGAGGAACCAUAAGGUUGAAAAGGCUAAUUGGGAAGCUAAAGAGGACAUGAAAUCCAAGUAUCCAUUCGUGUUUUCUGCUCUGGAAGAUCAUGCGUAAGGUAUGUGUUAUUCUUAACACCUUUGUUUUCUAACUUAGUUAAAAGUAAGAGUAGAGGCGUUUGGGGUUUUGAUCGUUCUAGUCAAUGUCUUGUCCCAUCAUUCGGGAAUGAAUGAUCCAAGUAGGGGAGGAUUAAAACACCUUAAGUUUUGACCCUUGGAAAUUUCCUAAGCUUUGAGCUCACAAUCCUGUUGAUGACUUAACCAUACGAGUCAUAUGGUGUGGGUACGAGUCAAGGGACCCAAAUCGUGAGGUGUCUAGUAGAUGAUGGUUGGGGUUCUAUUAUGGUAAUGAAUUGGUGGUACGAGUCGUUAGAGGUGGUGAUGAGUCGUUAGCACGAUCCUUAAUCAAAUCAAUAACUUAGUGGCUUGACUUUACUUUGAGUACAAGUGGCUCACUAAGAGACGUGAGGAUAGGUUACGAGUUGUGAGGUGAAGUCGUAGGUUGGCCAGUGUCUAAUCCCUUUGGGUUCUGUCUUGGAUAUGACUAGACCAUACGAGUCGUAUGAUCUGGUAAGGAGUAAGAUCAUGGGGUCAUGUGGUGGACAGUGUAUGGGUGUUCAACUUACUGUCUUGAUGACGAAUCAAGGGUACGAGUCUAUGUUGUGGUCACAAGUCAAGGGGUCAACUCAUAACCACCUGCAGUUUUUUUACAGAUUUAAGUUGAGGGCAUUCUGGAUAUUUCCCACUUUAACUCCCUUUGAUACCACGACUUAAAACAUCUUUUGGGACUUCAUUAACAUAUUAUUCCCAAUCAAACACUCUUAAAAUCUCUCUCAAACUCUCUGCUUAAGCAUAAAUCUACAGUUUCAUCAAGAUAAUAAAUUAAGGCUUUCAAGGGUGGGAUCUCUCUGUACUUCUUGGUGUCUAAGGCAUGUUACUCCUCCUUCAUUGUUAUUUUACUAAAAGCUCAUGUUUUAAUGUAUGAUUUUUAUGGUAUUGUUGUUUUAAUAGUGGGGUAUUGGGUGUGGUCUCGGAUCCUGGUUGGACUUGUGAUACCCGACACGACUAGACCCUGAUUCGGAUCGUGUCAGUUUCGACCAAAUAUACGUCCUACACCCAUAUUACCAAUUUUUCAACUUUCCGAUCAAUAGGUCGAAAUGAGCUCGGGUGCAUCGAGACCCGAAUCAAAGGUCUACCUAGCCUAAAAUCGAUAUCUCAGAGUUAUUGGCGCAGUCAAAAUUUGCAUCCGAGAUUGUUUUACUAAAGUUUUUACUCAGUGGCCAUUUAGAACCACCGAAGACUUGUAAAUAAGGAAUUGAUUCUAAAAAUCAAACGAACUGGUCGGUAGCUAGACUGUCAAUUCCAGCAAGUCAUAUAUAACUUGGGGCAGCUAUGGAGAAGAUAUAACAACGGAAAUAAACAAAAAUAUGAAAAAUGAACGAAAAGGUCAUUACACUCAUCUAUACCACUGUCGUUACAUAAAGGUUCAUUCGUGUCAUUAUUUUUGUAAUGGGUGAUUUUACCAAAUCAUUUUCCACAUAGCCUCUUAUUAGAUAUCCACAUCACCAAAACUAAUUCAACCAAUAUUACUUAAAAUUUAAAUAAAUUCAAUCCAUUAAAAUAAAACCCAAUACAAUUAAUGGUAUAAUUUUUAUUAUUAAUGAGCCUAAUUUUUAUUUUAAUGUUGUGGAUCGAAUUUUAAUUUAAUGAGUUUAAUUUUUAUAUUGAUUUUAAAUAAUAUUGAUUGAUUUGGAUUUGGUAACGUAGACCUAUAAUAAAAGGUCACGUGAAAAAAUGAUUUCGCAAAACCACAAUUACGAGAUAAUAGCAUAAAUAGACCUUUUUGUAAUGGCAGUGACAUAGAUAAGCCAAACUUUUAAAAGUGGUGGCAUAGAUGAGUUAUUUCUAGUAGUAUUCUUUCCCUUAAAAUAAGGCGAGUUUGAAAGCUUGACCAAAUAAGCCAUUAAUAUAUAUAUAUGUGUGUGUGUGUAUGUAAUUUUAUUCUAUCAUCUCCAAUAACUACUCCUAAGAAAUUAAUACUAUUUUUACAUAAUUUCAUUUUCUUUCUGUUUAUUAUUAUUCCAUUAUCUACAAAUAAUUUAAAAACUUGAUGUAAAUGUCCCAAAUGUUCUCUCAUAUUAUUACUAAAAAACUGUUGUUAUUCUCUCAGGGUGUGAUUAAAGAAGAUAUUGCUAAAAUACAUAUAUAUGUGUGUGUAAUUUGAGGAGCUUAGGGUCAAGUUCUCAAAAUGACAAUUAAGUUUCUCAAAGUCCAUUUAUUAUUAUUUAAAGGAGUUUUCAAAAUAUCAACUAAGCUCCUCAAAGUUUCACUUAUUACGAUUUGUAGAUUUCUCCAAAAUUACUUAUAUUUAUUUAUAAUUUAUGUUAAAAGAAUACUAUAAAUUACAAUAAUUAAUUCUAAAAUAUUUAAAGGGCAUAGUAAAAAAAGAACUGAUUCUCAAAAUUAAACCAGUACUGCAUAACUUGAGAUAAUUAUUUGAAAAUGAUAUAAAAUGUAUUAUAAAGCAUAAUACAUAACAAGUAUUUUAAAGACAUAUAAAAAAUGAAAUGAGAGGAGCUCAGGGUCAACUUUUGAAACUUACAAAUAAACUUCUCAAAGUCCCACUUUUUAUUGUUUGAUUUUGAGGAGUGAGAGGAGCUUAGGGUCAAUUUUUAAAAAUGACAACUAAGCUCCUCAAAGUCUCACUUACUACUAUUUGAAAAGCUUAGGAUUAGUUUGUGAAAUGAUUAUUUCGCCCUUUUACUUCUCCAAAAUUACUUAUAUUUCUUUGAAAUUUAUGUAAAAAUAUAAUAAAUCACAAUGAUUAACUUUAAAAUAUUUUGAAAGACAUAAUAAAAAAUCAGUUGGCUCCCGAAAUUCUAUCGAUACCACAUAAAUUGGAACAAUUAUUUUGAAGUGAUAUAAAAAUGCUAUAAACUAAAAUAAUUAAUAAUUUACAAAUAUUUGAAAGACAUAAAAUGUUCGAUUAACUCUUAAAAUUCUAUCAGAGUUAUAUAAAUUGAGACAUAAUAAGAAGUAACAUAUAUUAUUUAUAAAUUAUAUAAACAAUACUAUAAAUUACAAUAAUUAACAAUAUAAAAUUUUUGAAACGUGAGAACAUAAAGUAGCUUAGGGUCAGAAGGUAAUUGACUGAUUCGCCUUUCUAUUUUUAUUUUUAGUUUGUGGAAAUCCAAUUCAUAUAAUUUAACCAAAACAACCGAUAAUUUCUCUCUUCAUUAUUAACUGGGCCUACUUUUUGAAAUUUGAGCAUUUCAAAGAUGUAAAGAGAGAAUUAUAUUAUUUUCAUUCAACAUGAUGUUUUUCUCUUACACAUCAAAAAAAACAAAAAACUAAAUAAAGAAAAUAAUUCAACAUUUUCACGAAAAUUAAAUACUUCUAUUAAAUAAAGAAAAUAAUUAUGUAAAAGUAAUUUAAAUUAAAAUACUAAACCAAUAAAAGUAUGUAAAAGGUAUAAAAAAAAAUUGAUUAACUCUUAACAUUCUAUCAGUGUCACAUAUAAAGGUACUAUAAAUUACAAUAGUUAACAAUUUAAAAUAUUAAAAAGACAUAUUAAAAAUUUGGUCGAUCCUCCAAAUCUUAUCAAUGCCAGGUAAAUUAGAGUAAAGGAAGUAACAUAUAUUAUUUGAAAAUUAUGUAGAAAGUACUAUAAAUUAUAAUAAUUAACAACUUAAAUAUGUAAAAAGUAUAUUAAAAUUAGUUGACUCUCCAAUUCUAUCAGUACCACAUAAAGUGAGACAGAGAGAGUAUCAUAUAUUAUCGAAAAAUUAUGUAAAAAAAAUACUAUAAAUCACAAUAAUUAACAACUUAAAAAUUAAACGAAACAUUUCGAUCGACUCUUAAAAUUCUAUCUAUGUAACAUAAAUUGAAACAUAAUAGAAAUUAUGUAAGAAAUACAAUAAAUCGUAACACUAAUUAAUAACUUAAAUUUUUUUAAAUCAUACAAAAUUAAUUGGUGAUUUAAAUUUCAUUUGUGUUACAUAAAUUAGGACUAAGUAAACAACAUGGGCUCGGAGAGUUAGGGAUCGUUUGAUUGUGAAUAAGUUACUUCGGGAUAAUUAAUCCUGGGAUUAAUUAUUCCACCAUGUAUAUGAAAUACUUAUUGUAUCACUAAGAUAUAAAUGAUGGAAUAAAUAACCUCUAAUAACUUCAACUAAACAUGGUAUGUAAAAUAAUCCUAUACUUUAUUCUGAGACUAUGAUAACUUAUGUGUCACACCAAAACAUGUGUAAAGCUUGGAGGCUAAUUUUUUUUUAAAUGGUUUCCAACAAUAGUAGUAGUUUAUAUUUUAAAUCCAGAAAAUUACAUGGUAUAGCCCCAAUAGUGGAGGGCUUUGGAUUUUUAACCCCAAUAAGAAAAGUCUUUAGAGACUAGCCUUCCUUCCUUUUAAGUAUAAUAUAAGUAUAAUUUUACCUCUCAACACCUCAAAUAUUUUUAAACUUUCCAUACUCAUUUAUCUCUCAAAUUCUAUUUUUAUUUUUAUUAUUUUAACUUUUUUAUUUUUCUUUUAAUUUUAUUUUCAUGUUUUAAUUCAUUUGUCUCAACCUUUAUUUUUCGCUUUUUUUUUCUCAAACAUUAUCUAUUUCAUCAUUUUUUUUCUUUUUUUUUAAUUCAUUUGUCUCAACCUUUAUUUUUCUUUUAUUUUUGGUCUUUAUCAUUUCUCUUUUUUUCCCUCAUUUUUCUUAAACUUUAUUUUUAUUUUUUUCAUCUCAUUUUUGUUUUUCUCAAUUUUUUAAUUCUUCAUUUUUUUCUUAAUCUUUAUUUUUUCUUGUUUUUUUCUCAAUCUCUUUUUUUAUUUCUCUAUUUUAUUUGAUCGUUUUUUUCUUUUUUCUCAACUUCUAUUAUAUUUAGUUAAUAAAUAAAAAAUUGGAUAAUCCGCAAAGAGAUAUUCUUUUUUUGACGUCAAAACAAAUUUAAAGGCGUGCAUUAUUGUUAAGAAGCUCCUUGGGAUAAGUUUUGCCGCAAAGGCAAAAAUUAUAGAACAACUCAUAAAUCAAAGCACAAUGCGGUAGCGUCAAGUCUUGCUUAUGGAGCAUAACUUGUUGUUUGAAAAAUCCUUGAGUUAAGUCUUACUUCUAAGGCAAGAGUUAUAGAAUAUCUCAUAAAUAAAAAAAACAAUGUGGUAGUGUCAACACUUGUCCAUUGGGUAUAACUUGUUCUUUUGGGAGGUUCUUAGGCUAAGUUUUGUCUUAGAGGCAAGACUAAUAGAACAUCACAUAAAUCAAGACACAAUAUGAUAGUAUCAACUCUUAUUCAUGGGGCGUAACUUGUUGGCUAAGUCUUGCCUCUAAGGCAAGAGUUAUAGAAUAUCUCAUAGAUCAAGGCACGAUGUGGUAGUAUCAACUCUUAUCCAUGGGGCGUAACUUACUGUUUGAAAGUCCUUAGACUAAUACAAGCCUCUAAGGUAAGAGUUAUAAAACAUCUCACAAAUCAAGAUAUAAUGUGGCAGUGUUAACUAUUACCCAUUGGGCAUAACUUAUUGUUUAAAAGUCCUUAAUUUAUAAAAAAUCUCAUAAAUCAAGACACAGUGUGGUAGUCUCAAAUCUUGUCCGUAGAGGGUAACUUGUAAUUUAAAAGUCCUUGGGCUAAGUCUUGCCUCUAAAACAAGGGUUAUAGAACAUCUCAUAAAUCAAGACAGAGUGUGGUAGUCUCAAAUCUUGUCCAUGGAGGGUAACUUGUUAUUUAAAAGUCCUUGGGCUAAGUCUUGCCUCUAAAACAAGGGUUAUAGAACAUCCCAUAAAUCAAGAUACAGUGUGGUAGUCUCAAAUCUUGUCUGUGGAGGGUAACUUGUUAUUUAAAAGUCCUUGGGCUAAGUCUUGCCUCUAAAACAAGGGUUAUAGAACAUCUCAUAAAUCAAAACAUAAUGUGAUAGUGUCAAGUCUUACCCAUGGGGAGAAACUUGUUACUUGAAAGUCCCUGGUAUAAAUCUUGCCUCUAAGGGAAGAGUUAAUAAACAUCUCAUAAAUUAAUACACAGUAUGGUGGUAUCAAUUCUUGUGCAUGGGGCAUAACUUGUAGUUUGAUAGUCCUUAGGUUGAGUCUUACCUCUAAGACAAGAGUUAUAGAGCAUUUCAUAAGUAAAAAACACAAUGUGUUAGUGUUGACUCUUGCCCAAUAUACACUUGUUUGAAAAUUCUUGGGAUAAGUCGUGCCUCUAAGGUGAGAGUUAUAGAACAUCUCAUAAAUAAAGAUAUAACAUGGUAGUGUUAACUCUUACCCGUGAGGCAUAAUUUGUCAUUUGAAAGUCUUUGAGCUAAGUCUUGUCUGUAAGCCAAGAGUUGUAGAACAUCUCAUAAAUAAAGACAUAACGUGGUAGAGUCAAUUCUUGCCGGUGGGACAUAAUUUGUUCUUGAAAGUCCUUGAGCUAAGUUUUUCCUCUAAGGUAAGAGUUGCAAAACAUCUCAUAAAUAAAGACAUAACGUGGUCGAGUCAACUCUUGCCCGUGGGACAUAAUUUAUAGUUUGAAAGUCUUUGAGCUAAGUCUUGCCUCUAAGAUAAUAGUUGUAGAAUAUCUCAUAAAUGAAAAUAUAACGUGGUAGAGUCAACUCUUGCCGGUGGGACAUAAUUUGUUUUUGAAAGUCCUUGAGCUAAGUUUUUCCUCUAAGGUAAGAGUUAUAAAAUAUCUCAUAAAUCAAAUAACAAUGUGGUUGUGUCAACUCUUGCGCAUGAAAUAUAACUUGUUGUUUGAAAGUCACAAGUGUUGCCUCUACAAUGUAGCAAUGUUAACUCUUGUUCAUGAAACAUAGCUUGUAAUUUGAAAAUCAUAAGUCUUGCCUUUAUAAUGUGAUAGUGUCAACUCUUACUAAUGAAAUGUAACUUGAUUAGAGGAAAUCGAAGAAAAGAAUAAAAAUAAUAAAAAAUUACAGAAAAAAUAAAGAAAAAUAUUAAAAAAUAAAAAUAAAAUAAAAUGUAGAAGUUGAAAGAGAAUGAGAAAAAACUAAAGGUUGAUAAAAAUAUAAAAAAGAUAAAACAAAAAUAGAGGCCAAGAAAAAUUUAAAAAAAAAAAGAAAAGAAAAAUAAAAAUCAAAGAAAAAUCAAAAAAGUUUUUCUUUUUAUAGAAGUAGAUGUUGAGAGGAAUAAAGGAAAAAAGUAAGGAUUGAGAAAAAUUAAAAAGAACAAACAGAAGAGGAAAGAAAAAAUUAAAAAUUAAAGUAAAAUAAAAAAUAAAAAAAAGGAGAAAUUGAGAGGAAAAAAGAAAACAAAUAAGGAUUGAAAAUAAUUAAAAAUAAAAUUAAAAAAAUAUAUCUAAAAAUAUAUCAACUAAUAGCUGAAGUUCAGCUGAAGGUUGGUUUUAUAAUUUUUUUUUUACUUUGGAGUCAAAAGUCAUUUAUUUUGGGGCUACCUACCCAAGAAGGUAGUCCAGUUUCCCCUUGGUAUCUUAAAAGAGCGGAGCAGAAAGUGUUUUCUUUCUCAAAUUUAAAAUUAGUUAAUGAGUGAGCAUUGUUUCUUGUUUACAUGAAUUUCCGGCGAUGAAUAGGGCUGCUUUAAUAAGCUCUCAGGGCAACACUUUUCAGCUAAGGGCCGCCUCUCUUUUUCAUUCUUCCCCAAUGUUGGAACGCAGAAGACGCACUCAUUGGGAUUCUGUUAGUGUCUCUUUCUAUUACAUAUAUAUAAUUUCGUUUAUUUAUUUGGUUUAUCUCGAGUUUUCAGUUUGUCGGACUCAUUGGUUUUGCGAUGUAUGAAAUUUCUAUGUGCAACAAGUUUGGUUUUGGAAGUGGAAAUUCAUGUUAGUUGUUUGCAUAAACAUAAUAUAUUGUAUUUAUUAUAGAGAAGAAAGCAAACGUUGCACAGCAAGCCCAUGAAUUGGUGAUUUCUGGAUUUUCAUUUGUGGCAAUCGAAAGAACUAUUGUAAAGUUUGAUGAAGUUUGCUCUUUUUCCUUGUUGUGCAGGGGAGUGGUGCUUAUAAAGGCUCUUCAAGGGUGAGCCAUUGGCGCUAUGUUGCUUCAAUAAACCUUGUUCAAGGAAUUUUUCUGAUAGACAUGUUUGAUUUACUAUUUAAUGCUGCAAAAUAGGUUUCUCCCUUUGGUUUGGUUAAUGAGGACUAAAAUCCAGUAAAAUACCUACCCCAUCUGGUAGUUUGCCAAGGUUAGCUUCUUAAGUUACAUACAAUUAGGAAAUGAAGAGGAUUAAGGAAGAGGCUAACCUUGUUGUUUCUGUUUCUUCUUGACAUGGAAUUCUGCAAAAUCCCUAGAGUUUAACACAAUGAACUAGCAAAAGCUUGUGCAUUUUCUAAUAAAUUGGUAAAAACUUAGAAAUAUACUUGAAAUAAAUAAAAGUUAAAACAAAAAGAAAUUGAGAAUGCUUAAUUUUUGUCCUAAGUUGUUAGUUUUUCAUGUAUCACACAGUUUCUUGAGUAGUUUAACAUUCCAUGAAUGCAUGGCUGGUUACUUAGAGCAUUUUGUGUCUCUGAUUCCUGUUUAACCUCGGAACCAUUGAACUAUUAAUUUACAACAAAUCGCUUGAUUUAUGUCUUUUCAUGUCAUUGUACAACAACAUAUCCAGUGUAAUCUCACAAAUACGUUCUGGGAGGGUGAUGUAUACACAACCUUACCUAUAUCUUGUGAAGGUAGAGAGGCCAUGUCACGACCCGAACUAGGGCCUAGUCGUGACGGGUAUCUUGAGCCCACCAUGGACCGGAGAUCACCCCCUUAGCCUAACCUCAAGAGCACAAUAAUCAUAAAAUAAAGCGGAAGACAAUCAAACCAAUGAUAUUAGUAAUAGGAAUAGAUGAAUCAAAUGACGGUUCAAAGAAUUCAAAUAACAAUCCACCCACACUUGUCCACAAAAGCCUAUAAAAUCAGAAUAACACCAAAGUCGGGACAUGCCCCCGACUGUGAUAAAAAAGAAUCCAAAAGUACUAUGAAAAUAAAGCAAGAAUAGUGAAAUGACAAGGUCUUCCGAAGGAUAGAGGCUCACCACUUCACAACAAUUCAACAAACGUGCUCAACCACCUAACACUGCGCAGGAGCAACAGAAAACCCUUUAGACCCUACAUCAUAAAGCGAUGUUGAGUCCAGGGACGGUCAGUGGAUAAACACUGGCAUGUAACUCAGGGAAUAAGGAUAAAAUAAUGCAAUUACCAAAAUUCAGUCAUAAAUCAUAUGCACCACAUUCAUAUAUAUAUAUAAAUAUAUAUAAUGAUGUAGCUUCUAGGGAGGGACGGUCAGUGGAUAAGCAUUGACAUGUAACUCAGGGAAUAAGGAUAAAAUAAUGCAAUUACCAAAUUCAGUCAUAAACCAUAUGCACGGAGAAGCAGUACAAAGAGAAGACAGGAAAAUACUUAUAUAGAUAGAUAGAUAGAUAAAGAGAGAGAGGAUGUCGGGAUCAGUGUUUUGAAAAGCGAGAGGCGAAAAAAAGCGACGAGGGUUCGCUUCACAGAAGCGAGAAGCGUGAAGCGAAGCGCACUCUUUUUUCCAUUAAAGCGCUAUUUAGUACAAAAUUCAAAAAUAUUAAACAUGCAUAAAUAAAUAACCAAGAGCUCAU